rnacentral:lncRNA from 1 species
CAUGGAUAUGAUGAAUAGUUGCUCUGCCUGAUUUUCAAAAUUGAGUUUUCUCUCAAGUUUAGACAUAACUGUUAUAAUUUAAAGCUUGCUCUAAACCUAAACUUGUGGGAAGAAAACUUGAUCUGAAGCCUAAGUUGUUAACGGAUAUGAUAUGGGAAGGUUAAGCUGCUGUUUAUCUGUUCCUAGAGAUGCUAGAAUUCUGGAGAAUUUUAUCUUUGAAAAUCUUUAAAAUAUUACAUGAUGAGUUCCUGUAUGAUGAGAGUUUAAAUUCCUACCACAUAUAUACAUGCUUGCUAAAGUUUGAGCCACAUAUUUACUUUUUACUACUUAUGAGCAUUGAGUGUGGUCAAGCUGUGUAGAUCCUUAGGAGCUUGUCAUGUGGUUAAAUUAAGAUUCACUUGCACGUUCACUCACACAUGCUGCUUCUACUCCGAAAGUACCAUCCACAUAUAUCCACCCAUUUCCAUCUCCAGAACCACCCAAAAAUAUUCUACUCUUAAUCUGGGAGAGAAUAGCCAAAAACAUUUCUAUUUUCCCCUGUGAAAUAAAUGCUCAAGUUAUCUUGAUUACUACCACUUGCUAUAUUAUUUCAUGAUAUGAGUGCUCUAAAAAAAGAAGAAGAAAAAGAUACGAGGAAAUAAAAAGGGUCAAGUGCCCGGAACCUCGAAAGAAAAGAAAAAGUGAGACGAGAGGUAAAAAUGGACAAGUGUCCGACUGUAGAAUUAGGGGUACAAGAUACCCACCUGAGAGAAAAGAAAAACAAAAUAUAGAGCAUUUCAUUCUCCUCACAAAGUUUCAAAAAGCAAGAAAGGUAUGUAUCCCCUCAAAGAGCAAAAGAAUUAGACUUUCACCAUUGUUAUCACCAUCAUCACCAUACACCAUUCAUUCGCCACACAUGCACAUCUUGAUUUGACUUAUUGAUUUGUUUCUUUGGAUCCAUGGUUUGACUAUGCAAUAAAUGUCUUGUAAGUAUGUAUAUUUUAUCUCCUACCUAUGAGCUCCAGAUAUCAAAAGCCUUAUUAGAGUAGGAUGAGAGAGAAGGCAAUGUCACUAUGCCUUAUACCACAAAUACCACAUAUUUUGAGAGAAGGCAUAUACCAUAACUGUCUUGGUGAGGAUCCAGAAAUACCACAAAAGAGAGAUUUGAGAGAGUCAUACAAGGAAUCUCUGAGUUUUAUUUAAAAAUCUACAAAAACUCCAGAGCUAUAGCUGAUCAAGAAUAUGAGACAUGGCACUUGAUUAGACCGUUCUAUCUUUUAACUACUCAAGACAGAAGUGACGGUUACAAGUCCCAUGGUGAAAGGUAAAAUGAAUAAGUUUUAAGUCUUGACAGUUUACUCUAACUCAGCGAUGAGAUCUUAUUUAAAAGCAUGUGUACCGUCAAUUUUUAAAGAUAUUGCAACAACUUCUAAUCCAUCGCUGAGAUUAUCCUUGCUCAGGGACGAGCAAGAGGUAAGCUUGGGGGAGUUUGUUGACGGUCCUUAAGUAUCAAAUUUAAUUAUCAAAUAAACAAAGAAAAAGAUCCAAAUGAAAUCAACAUCCAGACUUAGGGUUUUAUCUGACAGAAUUCUACGAGAUUUGGUGUUUGUCUAUUUUUGUAGGGGGUUAUCAGGAAAUACGGAAGAAAGGCCCACACGUCGGGAUUACAUAGAGAUAUUAAUGUGCCGCGCAAUUAUCUUACAUUUAGAAGACUCCAGAAGCCACGGGAACGAAGCGGAGGCAAAACGGGGCCUGGCCCAGGGCGCCCACCCAGGAGACCAGGGCGCCCGCCCUCUGUUGGAGUCCAAUCAGGACACUCUUUCGCGAUCAAGCACCACCGACCUAAAGGAUCAAGGAUAACCGUUCAAUCAAUGUCGGUUUGAUCCGACGACCCAUAUUCACUUGGAGGGACUAUAAAACCAGACCCCCUGGCCCCUAGAGGAGGAGAGCCUCUCAACCUUAAUUCAUUAUUCAUCAAGGGAGAAGAAGCCUCUGAUCAAGCCUAGAGCCACCACAUCAAUUAGACAUCUAGAUUAGCAUAGCUACAUAGGAUUAGAACUAGAAGGAGUCAAUCUUCGAUUGGUUUCCAGAUCUGUCAAGAGGAUUCUUGGUAAUUCUCUAUUGUUCUUCAAUGGUUUAUCUUUGUUCUUCGAUAUUAUGAAUACAACUUUGUUCUACUUCAAUAUAUUGCUUAUGACUUUGCUCUACUUGUUUAUAUUCAAGAUUAUAUUGUUCUUAGUUUAUCAUAGUUAUAUACUUGGCUUAGUUAGAUUGGAUUUAUAUACAUGUUUAGGAUCGUAUAGCGUUUAUCCUUCGGAUCCAUGGGUAAAUGAUAGAUAUUGUGUAGGCAUGGUGCUUAUACCGUAUUUAUCUGCGAUUGUACCCAAUAUACCGGAUCGUGGGGUAGUUCGUGGUAGUGACAGCUCCAUUGAUUCUUAUAUAGUCCCCCUCUCGUGUAUUGGGCUGGCAGAGCAACAUUAUUACAAGGAGUGAUCGCUAUGUUUCUCAUAUUCCUUGCUAAUAUCACUAUGCAUGGGCGUAGUCUUGUCUCGCAAUGGUUGCUAAGUAUACUUGCACUAACUAUGAUAUGCUAGACUGUAUAGUUAUGAAUAACUUAGGAAAUAUUCUUGUAGUUCGUUCUAAUUCCAUGCUAAUGACUUGCUAGAAUAUCUAAUUGAGAUGUUUAUCAUAUUUAUUAUGUGGCUAAGUUAUGCUUAUCAGAUUAAUUAUCUUUGUCACUAUUCAUUACUUCAUAUAUCUUUUAUGUGACACUUAUCCCUGUGUGAAAGAGUUAGAUAAAUGUUCUCAAUUAUACAUGCAAUGAUAGAUACUCAAUCUCAUAUUCCAUUCUAUAAUCAACAUUGAUGAUUGCUAAUCCCUUCCCAGUGGUAAAAAUAUAAAUAACGAUACCUGGAAUACUUUCCGGUUAAAAUGCUACAUCGGUAUUAAUCUGUGCGCUUGCAGAUCCCAUUUGUUUUUUGUUUAGAUGAGCAAUUGCAUAUUUCAAUACCGCGUCUCUCAUGUCAUGCUGGGGAUGACAACUUGGCUUAAGUGGUAUGAGGGAUAGGUUUGGCAUUUUUGGCGCCGUUAUCAGAAUUAGAAAACUAAGUCUACUUUUGGUAAUGAUGUUAAGAAUACCCAACACAAGUGAUGAUCAUGGUGAUGAUGGUGAUGACCACAAGAUGAUCAAAUGCUCAACUUGGAAAAGAAGAAAGAGAAAAACAAAACCCAUAGAGAUCAAGGCAAAGGUAUUGCUUAGGGUUUUGGUUUUGGUGAUCAAGACACCAUAGAGGGUGUGAUCACAUUUAGGAUAGAUAGUCAUACUAUAAAGAGGGGAAUUCUUUGGCUAAGCGGUUAUCAAGUGUCACUAGGUGUCAUUGUUCAUGUGCAUGCAUUUAAAACCUAGUGAGCUAACUUAACUUCUUCAAAGAAAAUGAUUGUGAAAAUGCUAACACACGUGCACAUGUUGGUUUACAAUUGUGGUGUUGGCACACUUUGAGAAGGAGGUGGAGUUUGAAGGGUAGAGAGGGUUUGGGUUCCUCUCUCCCUCCUGCCGAGCUUGCGAGGCGGGAUUUGGUGCUUUUGAGAAAAUGAAAUGCAUAUUUUCUAUUGCGCCGGUGGAAUUUUAGAGAAGCCGCGGGAAUGUUUCUCACAGCGAACGCUGGCCCAGAGGCACCGGAUGCAGUGCUUGUGCAUCCGGUGUGUUGUCUGCUUCUAGUGGUGUUAGGGUUAAGCACCGGACGCGCUGCACCGGACGCGGGCUAGACCCUGUGUGUGCGUCCGGUGUAGCCUGACUUCAGUAGAAAAUUUGACUAAGAGCACUUGAUGCACUGGGAAGGGAUUAGCAAUCAUCAAUGUUGAUUAUAGAAUGGAAUAUAAGAUUGAGUAUCUAUCAUUGCAUGUAUAAUUGAGAACAUUUAUCUAUCUCUUUCAUACAGGGAUAAGUGUCACAGAAAGGAUAUAUAGAGUAAUGAAUAGUGACAAAGAUAAUUAAUCUAAUCUGCAUAACUUAGCCACAUAUAAAUAUGAUAAGCACCUCAAUUAGAUAUUCUAGCAAGUCAUUAGCAUGGUAUUAGGACGAACUACAAGAAUAUUUCCUAAGUUAUUCUUAACUAUACAGUCUAGCAUAUCAUAGUUAGUGCAAUUAUACUUAGAAAUCAUUAUGACAUAGGACUACGCCCAUGCAUAGUGAUAUUAGCAAGGAAUAUGAGAAACAUAGCAAUCACUCCCCUGUAAUAAUGUUGCUCUGCCAGCCCAAUACACGAGAGGGGGACUAUAUAAGAAUCAAUAGAGCUGUCACUACCACGAACUACCCCACGAUCUGGCAUAUAGGGUACAAUCGCAGAUAAAUACGGUAUGAGCACCACGCCUACACAAUAUCUAUCAUUUACCCAUGGAUCCAUUGGAUAAACGCUAUACGAUCCUAAACAUGUAUAUAGAUCCAAUCUAACUAAGCCAAGUAUAUAACUAUGAUAAACUAAGAACAAUAUAAUUGCGAAUAUAAACAAGUAGAGCAAAGUCAUAAUCAAUAUAUUGAAGUAGAACAAAGUCAUAUUCAUAAUAUCGAAGAACAAAGAUGAACAAUUGAAGAACAAUAGAGAGUUACCAAAAAUCCUCCUGAUAGAUUCGGAAACCAAUCGAAGGUUGACUCCUUCUAGUUCUAAUCCUAUGUAGCUAUGCUAAUCUAGAUAUCUAAUUGAUGUGGUGGCUCUAGGCUUGAUCAGAGGCUUCUUCUCCCUUGAUGAAUAAUGAAUUAGGGUUGAGAGGUCCUCUCCUCCAAGGGCCAUGGAGUCUGGUUUUAUAGUCCUUCCAAGUGAAUAUGGGCCGUCGGAUCAAACCGACAUUGAUUGAACGGUUAUCCUUGAUCCUUUAGGUCAGUGGAGCGUAAUUCCAAUAGAGAGUUCUGAUUGGACUCCAACAGGGGGCGGGCGCCCUGGUCCCUAGGGCGGGCGCCCUGGGCCAGGCUCCGUUCUACCUCCGCCUCAUUCUCAUUGCUUCUGGAGUCUUCUAGAUGUAAGAUAAUUGCGCAGCACGUUGAUAUCUCUAUGUAAUUCCGACGUGUGGGCCUUUCUUCCGUAUUUCCUGAUAACCCCCUACAGAAAUAGAUAAACACCAAAACUCGUGGAAUUCUGUCAGAUAAAACCCUAAGUCUUGAUGUUGAUUGCAUUUGGAUCCUUUUCUUUAUUUAUUUGAUAAUUAAAUUUGAUACUUAAGGACCGUCAACAAACUCCCCCAAGCUUACCUCUUGCUCGUCCCUGAGCAAGGAUAAUCUCAGCGAUGGAUCAGAAGUUGCUGCAAUGCCUUUAAAAAUUGACGGUACACAUGCUUUUAAAUGAGGUCUCAUCUAUGAGUUAGAGUAAACUGUCAAGACUUAAAACUUAUUCAUUUUACCUUUCACCAUGGGACUUGUAACCGUCACUUCUGUCUUGAGUACUUAAAAGAUAGAACAGUCUAGUCAAGUGCCAUGUCUCUUAUUCUUGAUCAGCUAUAGCUCUGAAGUUUUUGCAGAUUUUCAAAUAAAACUCAGAGAUUCCUUGUAUGACUCUCUCAUAUCUCUCUUUUGUGGUAUUUCUAGAUCCUUACCAAGGCAGUGAUGGUAUAUGCCUUCUCUCAAAAUAUGUGGUAUUUGUGGUAUACGACAUAGUAACAUUGCCUUCUCUUUCUCACCCUACUCUAAUAAUGCUUUAAUAUCUGGAGCUCAUACGUGGGAGAUAAAGUAUACAUACUCACAAGAUAUUUAUUGUAUAGUCAAACCAUAGAUCCAAAGAAAUAAGUCAAUAAGUCAAAUCAAGAUGUGCAUGUGUGGCGAAUGAAUGGUGUAUGGUGAUGAUGGUGAUAACAGUGGUGAAAGUCUAAUUCUACUUUUGCUCUUUGAGGGGAUACAUACCUUCCUUGCUCUUUGAAACUUUGUGAUGAGAAUGAGAUAGACCCCUCAAACAAAUAGAGCCGUUGGCUCUUUCACUAGGUCGAACUCGGGGUCACCGGACACUCUUAAAUGGGCACCGGACGCUCAACACCUCCGUCCGGUGCUCCAAAGUCAACCAGGUGUCAGAGUCUAACGGUAACCUACAGAGCACCGGACGCUGAGCAAGUUGCCACCGGACGCGUCCGGUGCACACCGGUCUUAAACACAAAGAGGUCUGCAAAACGCACAGGUCACCGGACGCACACCACCGGACACUCCCAGAGCGUCCGGUGCUUCUAGACAGACACUUUGGCAGAAGUCAGAUAGCACCGGACUCAAGAACAGGAGUCACCCUGCGUCUGGUGAGCACCGUCCGGUGCUUAACCCUAGCACCACAGCACACCGGACACACAUCCUCUGCGUCCGGUGCCUCAACGGUCAACGUCCGGUGAGUGUUUCUCUGCGAAGAACACCCAUCCUCUCUCUACCCUUCAAACUCCACCUCCUUCUCAAAGUGUACCAACACCACAGUGUGUAAACCAACAUGUGCACGUGUGUUAGCAUUUUCACAAUCAUUUUCUUUGAAGGAGUUAAGUUAGCUCACUAGGUUCUAAAUGCAUGCACAUGAACAAUGACACCUAGUUACACUUGAUAACCGCUUAGCCAAAGAAUUCCCCUCUUUAUAGUACGGCUAUCUAUCCUAAAUGUGAUCACACCCUCUAUGGUUUCUUGAUCAACAAAACCAAAACCCUAAGCAAUACCUUUGCCUUAAUCUCCAUAGGGUUUUGUUUUUCUCUUUCUUUUUUUAAGUUGAGUACUUGAUCAUCUUGUGGUCAUCACCAUCAUCACCAUGAUUAUCACUUGCUCCAUCACUUGGCAUGUACCAACCUCAUUAAGUCUACACACACUUAGUAUAGAGGUUAGUACAAGGGUUUCAUCAAUUAUCCAAAACCAAACAAGGGCUUUCACUAUCUUAGACAUAUAAUCAAAGUAGACAAUGACUAAUGCAAUUAAGAACAUAUCAAUCUAUUAAGAAUAAUGUCUCCCUAAUACACAAUUAAAUACUGUAAAGUAAGAACUAGAUCAAUUACCGAACUCUUGCUCUCCAGACCGACGCCAGUGGCUCCAGAUCCCGUUGAAGAACUAGAUCUCCUCUACUUCUAAUCUAACUAACUAGAACUAUGAACUAGAAGGCUGUUGAUGAACGUGAAGGCGCUUGAUGCUUGAUGGCUUGAGGCCUUAUUGAACUGGUUGAUACAAGAUUGUCUCUAGGGUGUCUACCCAUGUAUCUAUAGUCUGGUGGGAUGCGUGUGCGCCGUAGGAUCAAACCAACUAAGGUCCGAGAUGACUCCUCAAAGGUGGUGGAGGAAGCUUCCAGAAGAGGGGGCCGAAACCCUAAAGUGGGGCACCGACCGGCACUAGGGUGGGGCCGACCGGCCCCACCUGGCAGCCGCCAGGCCCCCCGUUGCUCUAGGUGGCUUCUCGAUCCUUCCUGAGUCUUCUCGCAACGUUUCCCGUGGUGAAUAGUUUUCGUGUUUACUUUGCACUAGAGUCCCUCUUUUUCAGCUUUCCUAAAAUUCACCCUAGAAAAUACAGAAUAUACAAAAGUCAUGGAAAUUAUUAGUUUAAACCCUAUACUAGUCUGUAUUCAUGUUCUCCGUUAGGUUUAAAGUUAUAAUAAAAGUUGACAUUAUCGACCAUCAACAAUUCCCCCAAGCUUACCUUCUUCUAGUCCUUUGGCAAAUAGAGCCUAAGCAAUAUAUGUAUUUGGAUCAAGAGUUGCUACAAGGUUUUCAUUGUUUCCAAGUACACAUGCUCCCAAACAAAGAUUCUCCUCUAGAUUAGUUAAUAGCUACUCUAAUCUUCAAACUUACCCAUUUUACCUUUAACCAUGGGGCUUUAUAGCUUUUCCAUGAGUCUUGAGCAAUCAGAAGAUAGAACAAUCAGGUUAAGCACUAUGUCUCUAAUUCUUUGCAGAACCAUUAUUCCAGAGUUUUUAUAAGUUUUUAGAAUAAAACUUAGAGCUUAAUUCUAUGACACCCUCAAUUCUCUCAAUGUAUCUGGUAUUUAUGGAUCUCUCUUGAGGCAUUAAUGAUGUUAUACCUCCUAUAGCUAAAGAUAUAUAUAUAUGGUAGAGCUUAUAGGAGUGCUAAUAACAAGGAUAAGCAUACUUGCAAUGCAUGUAUUGUAAAGUCAACUAAUGGAUCCAUAGAGAAUCGAGGCAUACAAUCAAACCAAGGUGUGCAUGUGUAUGGAAUAUGGUGGAUAGGUUAAUCUAUGGUAUUUUUGGCUAAUUUUUAUUUCUUUGGGAAUAUCUCUAUUAAAACUUUUCAGGAAAGACAUGGGCUAUCUCUUUCUUCUUCUUUUUUUUACAGGGAAGCGAGGAUCUAGUACCCAUUGUUUUAACUAUUGAGACACUUGUCCAUCUUUUACUCCCUUUUCUUCUUUUAUAUUUUUGCAUAGCCACAUGGUGUCCUUUAAAUACAAUAAAUGAUUAGAGAGGUAAUAACAAGAACAUGGAACAUUAAAGACAAGGGUUAUCCUAUAGGGUGAUUGUUGGUGUUUACUCCCAGUGUAGGAGAAAAACAUGAUUGAUGAACAUGGAAAUGAUUGCGAUUACUCCCUGUGUGGGAAUAAUGCAUAUGUGAACUGGAGUGUGUACUUGAUCUUGGUUUUAAAAGCAUGGCAAGACUCUCGUAAGGUAUACUACAAAGGUUGACUAAACUCAAUGAAAACCAAGCAGCACAAAUGUGUAAAUGUUUUCCUAACUCUAAAUGGAUAUUAUAUAUGGCUUUGGUAGGAAUUCAUGCUUUGUCAUACAAGAGCUCACCAUGUAGGAUUUUGGUUUUCAAAAUAAAUAUCUAGAACUUAGUAAUGCUAGGAAUAAGAUAAAUAGUAGCUUAGACUUUCAAUGAUCAUAUCAACCAACUACCUAGACUUAGCUCAAACUUAUGCCUCCACAAAUUGCAAGUUCAGAGCAAAUCUUCAAAUUAAAACAGUAAUGUCUAAAACUCGAGAAAAUCUAAUGUUGGAAUCUUGGUACUUGUAAAGAAUAGAGCAACUAUUCAUCAUUUCCAAGACAAAUUUUAAUGUUCAUCAAUUUUUAUUUAGCUCUAGUUUAGACUGACUCUAAACAGACUCUAACACUUAACUAAUUAUAAACUCAUAAAAGACUCUAUGACUUGUGGACCUUCAUGUGCCCACAUAUUUUUGGUAUUUUUGUAACUAUAUAGACUCAAUAAUCGCUUAGGUAUAAUUACCUGAUAACUAGGGGAUGCUCCUCCUCCAAGCUGGAUGUUUGCAAUACUUGGUGUUGAUGUCCUUUAGUGCGAGCUAGCUAGUAGCAAACCUGGUGGGUGCCACUGAUAGACUCUCUCCUUCCUAUGUGUUAUUCCUGCAUAGUAAUACUCCAAAAAGAGAACCAAAAAUUGAGGCUUGAAUUUAAUAAUGGGUUAGCGGUCAGCCAAUGAGCAAUUGAUUAUUCUUAUGAGCUAAUUUUAAUGUUGUUGAUUUAAGAAGGAUCUUUCUUUUCUCUUCUUUUUGAAUUUUCUAUUUAUGAUGCAUGAAAUAAAUAUGAAUGCCAUUUAAUUUUAUUUUUAUGCCACCAUAGUAAAUAUUCCUAAGGGGUUACCAUAAGUUUAUUCACAUGGGGCUUUGGUAUUUAUGAUGCAGUACUUAAAGCAAUAAAUAUUUUUUUGUAUUUUGUAUUAAUAUGCCAAGAGAAUUAAAUAUGCUACUAAAUGUAUUAAAGCGAAGUUACUAAUGCAUGCUAAUUGAACUAGAUAACUACCAUUCUGACCUUAUGGCUAGGGUAUGGAAUUUACAGUCUACCGAUAGGACUUAGAUAACGGAGAGGACUUACUCAGUGGGUUCAUUGUCUGAGGUAACCUCAGUCAACUCCCCGUCUUGCGAUGAUGUGAUACGUGCAUCUUUCUUCCAUCUUGCUUCUGUCUCGUUUACUUCUUCCUUCUCUAGUUCCAACUCUUCAGCUUUGUUCUCCUUUUCCUAGGAUUCUAAUCGGGCUAAGAUCUUCUCUUUCUCUUUCUUGGCAAUUUGGUCUAUCCUUUCAGCUUCUUCGGCCCACUCACUCCAUCGAGGUGCUUGCGUGUUCUCUUCUUGCUCCGUGAAGCGAUCUUCAUAUUUCACAGUCUUCCUAGGAAAGUCUUCCCAUCCGUAGUAGUCUGGGCAGCGUGAUAAUGGGUUUGGUGUCUUCUCCUGUUGCGUUGCUUCCUGAUCUAUUCAUGGUUAACUAGUGUUCUAAAUUGACAGCGUACCUUUCCAGCAGAUAAGUUGAAGUGGAUAUGCCCUGAUCCGAUGUAGAUGUUGGCUUUGGUUGUGUAGAGGAACGAUCUUCCCAAGAGGAUUGGGGACUCAUCGUCUCCCUGCAUGUCAAGAACUAGAAAAUCUGUAGCUAUAUAUUGUUCUUGAAUUCUUACCAUGACAUCCUUGACCACUCCUUCUGGGAAUCUUAGUGAUUGAUCCGCCAUCUACAACUGAAUAUAUGUUGGGUAUAAAGGUUAAUCAAAUAAUUGAUCAUAUACCUAUUUUGACAUUACAUUGCAGCCUGAUCCAGUGUCACAGACAGUGUGGGGGAAGGUGGUGUUUUUGAUUGUGCAUUCAAUGAUUGGAACUCCUGGAUCACCUCUCUUGAUUGGAAAUGGCUUGGGUAGCAUAUGAUCAUUCUCUAUAUGAGAGCGGUGAGCAAUUGAGUUGUUUCUGCACGUGCAUGCUUGGUCUUUCUCCAUCUUCUGUUGUUUCUAUUAUUCUUCUUCUUCGGCAUUGAUUGCUGUUCUUGCUUUCCUUGUUGGUAGAAUUGCUUCAGGGCUGCAAGAGCUUUUAGGACACGGUUCUUGAAUGUGAAUCUCUCCUUCUUGUCCAUGAUGGAUAAGACAAUCUUGGCGUACUCCUUAUAGAUGAUGGCUUUUGUUGUGCAAAAGAAUGGUCUGCCCAAAAUGAUGGGUGCCUUCUCAUAUACUCCUGUCUCCAUGACCAUGAAGUCAACUGGGACAUAUGAUUGCCCCACUCUAAUGAAAACUUCUUCUAGUACUCCCUCAGGGUAGCAAAUGGACUAAUCUGCAAGCUAAAAACGCAUAUUUGUGUACAACAAGGAAUCAUUUAAUAUUUUCUCAUAAAUUACAUUGGGCAUGAUGUUGACACUUGCACCAAAGUCACAGAUAGCCUCUGGAAAGCUGUGGCAUCCUAUAGAGAUAGGAAUAACAGGUCUUCUAGGGUCUCCCAUCUUCUCUAGUAGAGAGUGGUCCAUCCACUUUAAACUGCAGGCUCAAUAUGAUAUUGGGUUGCAUUGUGAAUAUCAACAAGGUUAGCAGUUUCUAAAUCUUCUAGUUGGCCUAGAAUCUUGCCUUUUUCUAAUGGAGGAAUAGCAUCAGCUAAUUGAGCUAAUUGUGAUUCUAGCAUUUUAUUGAAACUAUGUUGAUUCUUUAUAGCAGAAGCAAAUGUAUCCAUCCUAGUAUGUAUGUUUUCCAAAGUUUUAUCAUUUGAUGUUAGUUUCCUAGUCAUUUGAUCUAGUAGUUUGGAUUGACUAGCGACUAAUUCUUUCAAAGGCAGAAAUUUAUUAUUAAAACUAUUACCUUGGUAAUUACCUUGUCGAGUUUGUUGAUUCCAUCCUUGAUUUUGUUGAGGACGAUAGUGCUGACGGCCCUUAAGUAUCAAAUUUAAUUAUCAAAUAAACAAAGAAAAGGAUCCAAAUGAAAUCAACAUCUAGACUUAGGGUUUUAUCUGACAGAAUUCUAUGAGUUUUGGUGUUUGUCUAUUUCCGCAGGGGGUUAUCAGGAAAUACGGAAGAAAGGCCCACACGUCGGGAUUACAUAGAGAUAUCAAUGUGCCACGCAAUUAUCUUACAUCUAGAAGACUCCAGAAGCCACGAGAAGGAAGCGGUGGCGAAACAGAGCAUGGCCUUGGGCGCCCGCCCAGGAGACCAGGGCGCCCGCCCUGUCCCAGAGUCCAAUCAGGACUCUCUUCGGGGAUUAUGCUCCACCGACCUAAAGGAUCAAGAAUAACCGUUCAAUCAAUGUCGGUUUGAUCCGACGGCCCAAAUUCACUUGAGGAGACUAUAUAAGCAGACCCCCUGGCCCAUGGAGGAGGCACCCCUUGAUCCCUAUUCAUUAUUCAUAGACAAAGCAAAAGCUAGGGUUUGGAGAUGAGUGCUCUCCUCUCAUCUCUAAACUAGAGUAGAUCUAGAUAGUAGCAAGAUGGAGAGCGAGGGAGGAUUAGAGGAGAGGCCGACCUGUCGGUUCUUCCUCUGGUUGUACUUCGCCAUGAUCAAGCUCUAAUCAAGCUUGCUCAUGGGAUGACUCUGGUAAUCUACUUCUAAUUCAUUAUGCAAUUACUAAUCAUGUAUGUUCUGGUUCACAACUCUUUUGAGUACAUCUAAUCUAUAGGACCCUAUAGGUUAGAGUUGUAGUAUAGGUGUAAGCGUGGUGCUUAGACCUAGAUUACUUGUGGAUAUCCCCUGACUAGCUGGAUCGUGUGGUAGGCCGCAUAGGUGACAGUUACGUUGGUCCCAUGUAGUCCACCUCCUGUUAGCAGGACGGGUAGGGUUUAUCGGCCUAUGGAUGAGCAUCCUUUGUGGUGUAUUCUUAUCACGUGGUUCGUCCCAGACAUAGACAUACCCCUUUGAAGUAGAGAAACCAUAGUUAUCCUCUCUAUUUUGCUACCAUCGCCCAUAUACUAGAUUGCUCUACUCUCUAUUCCCGUAUUAUCAUCCAUUGUUAUCUUACCUUUAAUAUUGUUCUUAUUUAAUUCUACCAUCUUUCCUAUUUACACUUAUCUAUCUAUCUUGGUUAAGUUAAAGCGUAGUUGGUUCUCCCGUUUCCCUGUGGAUACGAUAAAACCUUUAACCGGGUAAAAGCUACAACGGUAUCCAUGCGCUUGCGGAUUUAUCUGUGUGCGUAUAAAUACCAUAGUACACUCUAGUGCCAUGCUGGGGAUAACAACCUAGUAUUCAAGUGGUGUUAGCAAGUGUCAACAAGCAUUUUUGGCGCCGUUGCCAGGGAAACGGUUGCUGAGUUGACUGCGAACUAGCUUAAUCAUUUUCUAAAAAUAAAUAAAUAAAUAAAUAAAUAAAUAAAAAUAAAUAUAUAUUUUUCCUUUUAUCCUUUGCCUCAUCUCUGCUAUUCUUUCUUCUUAUCUAAUCCUUGACUUCUGGUCUAUCAUGAAUUCAAACAUGUCUAUCUAUGAAUUCCAUAGACCUACGGGCACACAUCUCGAACCACCAAGAUCUUCAAAGCCUAUAUAGCAUCUAGUUUUGAGAUAGACCCCGAAUACAUAGAAUUUAUACAAAAACAACCUUUCUCAGGAGAAGGUGAGGAAAACCCAUACACACACCUAAGAGAGUUUUAUCGAGUCUGUGACCUCCUUCGCAUUGAAGGCAUGUCCGAUGAGACCCUUAAAUGGAAGCUCUUUCCGUUCUCUUUAACAGGAAAAGCUAGACAUUGGUACAAACUCAAAGUAGGGAGUGUUCAUGGAGAUUGGAAGGAGUUAUAUAAUAGUUUUCUUUCUAAAUAUUUUCUAAUCUCCAAAGUGGCAGAACUUCGGUGUGAGAUUAUUUCUUUUAGACAACUGGAAGAAGAAUCUCUUGGCAAAUCAUGGGACCGCUUUAUUAACCUUACUCUCACUGGCCCAAAGCUUUCUAUUCCACAAGAAGUUCUUCUAAUUCACUUUUGUGAGGGCCUUAGUGGGGAAAAUAAUCAAACCUUGAAUACAGCCUCUAGAGGAUCCUUCUAUCACCUACCUGCUAGUGAUGCUUGGAAUUUGAUUGAUUUAAUGAGCGAAAAGUCUCCUAGCUUUUAUAUCCCUAAGAAAGAGAAAGAACCAGUUCCUAGACAAGAAGAAGAAGUUUCGAUAGCCAGAUCACAACUACUUCAAUUCCAAACUUUAGCUAUCGAUCCUAAACCAUCAAUACCCGAAAAUUCUUCAACGGAGGAAGGAAUUCCGACCUUAAAUCUUUCAGAUACUGAUGAUUUAGACUUUUGGUUCCAUAAGAAACCUUGAAGCAGGGAUAAUUCAAGUCCUUGCAAUAAUGGUUCUCUUAGAGAAUGUCCUGGUUUCUGUUAUGAAGAAGUCGAGGAUGACAUAUCAAGUGAAGGAGAGCUAAGCCAGAUAGAAAAUUCUAACACCUCCCCUUGCAACAAGUUCUAAAUGGCUAGAAUGUGUAGAAUGGAUGGAUAAGGAAGAAGCCUUAAUGGAUUCUGACUUUGGCUCAAUUUCAAAUGGUGAGUUCUUGACUCCCUUUGAAAAUGGGAUUCAUCCAACUAUAGAAGAGGACAUAAGUGAGACCAAUCCAGGAGAAACUCCGAACAUUCAGAUUGGAGAUGAAGAUAACAUUAAUGAGCAUGGAAUUUAUUUCAUAGCCACUUCAUUUACUCCAUGCUCAUAUGCAACAUCUUCCCAAUCUAUUGGUCUCUCCGACAUCACCACACUUGAGAUCUCCAACCCCCUCUUCCUUUCUAUUUAUAAAAACUUUAAAAGGGCGGUUGCCGAUGCAUAUGUCUAUAAUAAAUAUUGCAGAUCUUGUUGAGUUGAUCUUGAUAUAGGUUAGCGUUGGAAGGGAAACCACUUCGCCGACACAAAUUGAUGGUUUCCCAAGGACAAACUUAGUGUCCUAAAAUAAGCACUGAUCAGAUCGUAACAUGAGCUUUUAAUUAUCUGCAACAUUACCUUGUGUAUUGAGCAUAUAAGGAUAAUUGUAAAAAUAUUCCUUCGGGUAUUCUUGUCACUAACCUUUCCAGGACUGGAGCAAGAAGAUCGGAUGAAUGACAAGCACAAGGUAUGUCCAACCGAUCAUCAUACAACAUUGAAUUAAAUUCAUCCAAACUUGAAUUUUGCAAAAUUCAAGCUUGGGGUAGUACCUUACAUAAAAACGUCCUUUGUCAUGUUGUUAUGUUGGUUGUCUCUACCUUUGAGACAUGCUCAAUUUGUUAAAUACUAAUCACACUACUUCAUCUCCACUUGAGUAGAUCUCUAUAAAUGCCAUCACGCUACCUUUGUUUAUCCUAGUAAGUGUUAGUUUGGAAGUACUACACAUACUUCUAUUGGCUUUUAAAUUAAGCAUGGUGCUUAGGUUAAACAGCCUUCCUUAAUCUGAUUAGACAUGGAGUCUAGUUCGGUUAUUGAACUAAAAACUGCUUGUGUAGACAUUGGUAUAUUUUGUCGGACUAACCCCUGCAGAAAAACUUUCAAUAUCAAUUUGGGAAGUCCUGAGAUAAACUCACAUUGAAGACAAAGAGAGAGACACAUGAAGUUUAACAAUUUACACAAGGAGGACAUAGCUCAUUCAUCAUAGAGAGAUGAUCCAUGGAAGGAGACAAAGUACAUAACCAAGAUGAACAACAGCUAAGAAUGGAAAGCUUCCACAAGGUGAUACUGUACCAUCACUCUUCAAUUAAGAUAACAUCUUAAGAUAUCUGACUAUCACUUUUAUAAGCUUCUCCUUGGUUCUGGCGUUCACAUAAAUAAAGAGACAAACAUGUAUGAUUUAUAACUCCAAAUUAACCAACCCAACUGAUUCAGCAUGUUUAGUCCUUUAAUCUUUGUUCCUAGUACUACCUCCAUGAUCCCACACUCCUAAUCAUAUGAUCUAAAAUGUUACACAUUCAAUCUUUGAGAGAUAUAAAGAAAAAGACAUAUAAAUAGAUAGAUUAUCUCUCCAUAAGGUUGAGCGAUCUGCUUUGACAAAUGCUAUAAGUGCCACACUCAUGAACUUAUCAUCCAUCAACUUUGUCUUGCUCACUAUGCUUAAGGUUAGAGAAGAACAAAUACACUUUUGGUUCUAUUGGUGUUUUCCACCAACAGGACCCAUGCACUUGAUCUCUGCCUUGUCUCUAUGAGCAGGUACACUUCGAGCAAAACAUGAAGGAGUUUUAUAACUCUCAGACUCUACCAAGUGAAGGUCCUGGAUUUACGAGCACAAACACACUGAGUAGGAUGCUGCCAACGCCGCACUUCGAACUGCUGGGCAAACGAAGAACAUGGGUGAUACCGUAUCAAGAGGAGUAGACGUCAAGGUCCGCACCUGAAUCAAAUGACGCACCUGAAGAAUGAACAUGGUGAGAAGUCUUGUUCAGAAGACUUAAAACAUUGAACCCUCGCCGAAAGGUAAAAUCGGUAGUUAUCCAUAUUUAUCCUUUCUGCAUUCCCUUUUCCCUUUAGUUACUUACUUUCCUUAAAUAGCUUAUUAGUUAAUCAUGCUAUCCUGAAAAGAAAAUAAAAAUGUUAAAAAUACUAAGCCCCAUGUGAGUAUGCUUGUGGCAUGAAACCCAUAAGUACAUUCACUGUGGCGGCAUAAAAAUAAAAUAAAUAUAUUCCUAUCUUAUAGAAAUGAAAAUAUAAAAAUAAAUUUAUGAUCCUACCAAAGAGAGUAAUAUUUAUUAGAGAAAGCUCAACAUGAUAAAGGCGAAGAGAUUUUAUGCUAACACUUAACCAGUUCCACAAAGCUUUGUUGUCUAUUUGAGCUCCACAGAAUUCAAGGAUCAAAGAAGACUAGCAGACGGAGGACAUUCUAAUCGCUGUCACUGCCGACAUUCAAAUACACCUCCGCCACCUGCUAGCUACAUCAGAAGAAAUUACGUCAAAAUCUAGCUUGGGGGAGAGCACCCCCAUUUAUCCAGCUAGGUGUUUCUACUCAUAUUUAUACAUUACUCAAAUAAUAAAAAGAUGCAUAAUCAUAAAAACCCAAAUAAAGAUUUUAUGCUUAUAUAUAUAUCUAUGCUUAGUUUGCUAAAUAAAUAAAUAAAUAAAGUUUGCUAUGAACCCUCAUGAUAAGCUCUCACAUGGAUAUGAUGAAUAGUUGCUCUGCCAUGACUAGUUCUCAAAAUUAAAAUCUCUCUCAAGUUUAGGUAUGACUGUUAUGAAUUAAGAUUUGCUCUAAACGUGAACUUGUGGGAAGAGUACUUGAUCUAAAGUCUAAGUCGUUAACGGAUAUGAUAUGGGAAGGUUGAUCUCCUGUUUAUCCGUUCCUAGAAAUGCUAGAUCUCUGGAGAAUUUUAUCUUAAAAAAAAAUCUUUAAAAUAUGGCAUGAUGUGUUCCUGUAUGAUGAGAGUUUAAAAUCCUACCACAGCCAUAUAUACAUGCUUAUUAGCCUAUGAACCAUACAUUUACUUUUUACUACUUAUGAGCAUUGAGUGUGGUCAAGCUGUGUAGACCCUUAGGAGCUUGUCAUGUGGUUAAAAUCAAGAUCCACCUGCACGUUCACUCAUACAUGCUGCUUCUACUCCGGAAGUACGCAUCCACAUACAUCCAUUCAUUUCCAUCUCCAGAUUCACCUAAAAUUAUUCUACUCCUAUCCAGGAGAGAAUAGCCAAAAACAUUAUCCUAUCCCUGUUAUUCCCUGUGAAAUAAAUGCUUGAGAUAUUUUGGUUACUACCACUUGCUAUAUUAUUCUAGGAGGGUGAGUGCUCUGAAAAAAAAGUGAAUACGAGGAAAUAAAAAGGGGCAAGUGCCCGGAACCUCGAAAGAAAAGAAAAAGUGAGACGAGAGGUAAAAAUGGACAAGUGUCCGAUAGUCGAAUUAGGGGAACAAGAUACCCACCUGAGAGAUAAGAAAAAAAAUAAAAUAUAGAGCAUCUCAUUCCCUUCAAAAAGCUUCAAAGUGCAAGAAAGGUAUGUAUCCCCUCAAAAGAGCAAAAGUAGAAUUAGACUUUCACCAAUAUUUUCACCAUCAUCACCAUAGACCAUGCAUUCGCCACACAUGCACAUCUUGAUUUGACUUGUUGACUUGUUUCUCUGGAUCCAUAGUUUGACUAUGCAAUAAAUGUCUUGUAAGUAUGUAUUAGCUGUCUCCCACCUAUGAGCUCCAGAUAUCAAACCUUAUUAGAGUAGGGUGAGAGACAAGGCAAUAUCACUAUGCCUCAUACCACAAAUACUACAUACUUUGAGAGAGUCAUACAGGAAUCUCUGAGUUUUAUUUUGAAAAUCUACAAAAACUCCAGAGCUAUAGUUGAUCAAGAACAAGAGACAUGGUACUUGACUUGACCGUUCUAUCUUUUAACUGCUCAAGACACAAGUGACGGUUGCAAGCCCCAUGGUGAAAGGUAAUAUGAGUAAGUUUUAAAUCUUAACAAUUUACCCUAAACUAGAGAUGAGAUCUUGUUUAAAUGCAUGUGUACCUUUAAGGCAUAAAACCACUGUAGAAACUCUUGAGUCCAUCCUUGCUCAGGGACGAGCAAGAGGUAAGCUUGGGGGAGUUGUUGACGGUCCUUAAGUACCAAAUAUAAUCAGCAAAUAAACAAAGAAAAGGAUCUAAAUACAACCAACAUCUAAACUUAGGGUUUUAUCUGACAGAAUUCCACGAGUUUUGGUGUUUGUCUAUUUCUGCAGGGGGUUAUCAGGAAAUAUGGAGGAAAGGCCCACAUGUCGGGUUUACAUAGAGAUAUGAACGUGCCGCGAAAUUUUCUAUCAUCUAGAAGACUCCAGAAGCCACGAGAACGAACGGGUGGCUGAGCGGGCUCAGGGGCAGGGCGCCGCCCUCCCCCCUUGGGCACCCGCCCUGUCCUAGAGUCCAAUCAGGACUCUCUUCGGGGAUUAUGCUCCACCGACCUAAAGGAUUAUGAAUAACUAUUCAAUGAAUGUCGGUUUGAUCCGACGGCCCAGAUUCACUUGAGGGGACUAUAUAAGCAGACCCCCUGGCCCCUGGAGGAGGCACCCCUUGAUCCCUAUUCAUUAUUCAUAGACAGAGCAAAAGCUAGGGUUUGGAGAUGAGAGCUCUCCUCUCAUCUCUAAUCUAGAGUAGAUCUAGAUAGUAGCGAGAUGGAGAGCGAGGGAGGAUUAGAGGAGAGGCCGGCCUGUCGGUUCUUCCUCCGGUUGUACUUCGCCAUGAUCAAGCUCUAAUCAAGCUUGCUCAUGGGAUGACUCUGGUAAUCUACUUCUAAUUCAUUAUGCAAUUACUAAUCAUGUAUGUUCUGGUUCACAACUCUUUUGAGUACUUCUAAUCUAUAGGACCCUAUAGGUUAGAGUUGUAGUAUAGGUGUAAGCGUGGUGCUUAGAUCUAGAUUACUUGUGGAUAUCCCCUGUCUAGGUGGAUCGUGUGGUAGGCCGCGUAGGUGACAGUUACAUUGGUCCCAUGUAGUCCACCUCCUGUUAGCAGGACGGGUAGGGUUUAUCGGCCUAUGGAUGAGCAUCCUUUGUGGUGUAUUCUUAUCACGUGGUUCGUCCCAGACAUAGAUGUUGAUAUUUGGUAACACAAUUAGAAAAUGAUCCGCAAGCGCAUGGAUAUCGGUGAGCAUUUCACCCGGGAGGUUAUCCAGAGUUAUCGUAUUUAUAUUUUUACCACUGGGAGAAAGGGUGCAUCUGACUAACCAAAUCUAUUGCUACUAUCCCUUUAGGCUACAAAGAAUGUCUCUCGAUGUGAGUGAUGUAUAGAGAAGACUGCAACCUUAGUCUCGUUCUAACCUUGGUAAGGAUGAUCUACUGUUCUAUUGGAGAGGCUCACGGAAUCUAGACAACACAAAGGAUGUUCGACCCGCACCUAUAAACCUACCCGUCCUGCUAACGAGAUGUGAUCUGCAAAGGUAACUCGGAAAUGUCACGUUCCUCGCUACUACCACGGUCCAGCUAGUCAGGGGAUAUCUAUGAGUACCCUAGCCUAAACACCACGUUUACGCUAACAAGUGAUCACUCUAAUACUCAACCGGAAGAGGAUUAAAGUAAACUCAUAAACCAAAGAACAAUAAAACAAGAACUUACUAGAAUUAGAAGUCGAAUUACUGAAGAAUCUUAGAAGCAAGCCUCGGGUUAGGAGACUUGAUCCCGCAGGUACAACUCGGAGUAGACACCGACAGGCCGGCCUUCCUCCGAUCCACACCUCCACUCUAUCUCUCUCAAUCUAGUAGAAACUAGAAGAUCUAUUUCUACCUUACAUUGGUUGCUAAGCCGAAAAAGAAAUAUUAUUUAGAGAAGAGGUUUUCCUUCGAGGGCACCCCUCAAUCUCUAUGAUAAUUUCUUGUCUUCUCCAGGGCCAGAGGGGGUCUCCUUAUAUAGUCCUCCCCUUCUAUGCGUUUUUGGGUCGAUAGGCGAGGUGGUACUAUGUUAUUCUGGAUCCAAUAGGUCGGUGGAACGUCGUGUGCGAAGAGAGUCCGGAACGGAGUCCAGAGGGGGGCGGGCGCCCAGGUCCUCAGGGCAGGCGCCCUGGGCCUGGCCCCUUUCGGGCUCCGCUUCCUUCCCGUGGCUUCUGGAGUCUUCUAGAUGGUAGAAAAUUGCGCGGUGGGUUGAUAUCUCUAUGUAAUCCUGACAUGUGGGCCUUUCUUCCUUAUUUCCUGAUAACCCCCUGCAGAAAUAGACAAACACCAAAACUCAUGGAAUUCUGUCAGAUAAAACCCUAAGUCUAGAUGUUGAUUUCAUUUGGAUCCUUUUCUUUGUUUAUUUGAUAAUUAAAUUUGAUACUUAAGGACCGUCAACAAACUCCCCCAAGCUUACCUCUUGCUCGUCCCUGAGCAAGGAUGAACUCAAGAGUUUCUGUAGUGGUUUCAUUUCUUAGAAGUACACACGCAUUUAAGCAAGAUCUCAUCUCUGAGUUAGAAUAAACUGUUAAGACUUAAAACUUACUUACUUUACCUACACCAUAGGACUUGUAACCGUCACUUCUGUCUUGAGUGGUUAAAAGAUAGAACAGUCUAGCCAAUUGCCAUGUCUCUUAUUCUUGAUCAGCUAUAGCUCUGGGGUUUUUGCAGAUUUUCAAAUAAAACUCAGAAAUUCCUUGUAUGAUUCUCUCAGGUCUCUCUUUUGUGGUAUUUUUGGAUCCUUACCAAGGCAGUGAUGGUAUAUGCCUUCUCUCAAAAUAUGUAGUAUUGGUGGUAUGAAGCAUAGUGUCAUUGUCUUCUCUCUCACCCUACUCUAAUAAGGCUUUAAUAUCUGGAGCUCAUAGGUGGGCGAUAAAGUAUACAUACUUACAAGACAUUUAUUGCAUAGUCAAACCAUGGAUCCAAAGAAACAAAUCAAUAAGCCAAAUCAAGAUGUGCAUGUGUGGCGAAUGAAUGGUGUAUGGUGAUAACAAUGGUGGUGGAAGUCUAAUUCUACUUUGCUCUUUGAGGGGAUACAUACCUUCCUUGCUUUUGAAACUUUAUGAGGAGAAUGAGAUGCUCUUCUUUUUUCUUUUCUUUCAAGGUUCCGAGCACUUGCUCCUUUUUAUUUCCUCGUAUCUUUUAUUUUCUUUUUCUCUUUUUUUUUCAGAGCAUUCAUCUCUUGAGAUAAUAUAGCAAGUGGUAGUAACAAGAUAACUUGAGCAUUUAUUUCACAAGGGGAAACAGAAAUAUUUUUGGUUAUUCUCUCCCGGAUUAGGAGUAGAAUACUUUUGGGUGGUUUUGGAGAUGGAAAUGAGUAGAUAUAUGUGGAUGGUACUUCCGGAGUAGAAGUAGCAUGUAUGAGUUAACGUGCAAAUGAAUCUUGAUUUAACCACAUGACAAGCUCCUAAGGGUCUAUACAGCUUGACCACACUCAAUGCUCAUAAGCAGUAAAUAGUAAAUGUGUGGCUCAAGGUCUAGCAAGCAUGUAUAUAUGGCUGUGGUAGGAAUUUAAACUCUCAUCAUACAGGAACUCAUCAUGCAACAUUUUAAAGAUUUUCAAAGAUAAAAUUCUCCAGAAUUCUAGCAUCUCUAGGAACAGAUAAACAACAGCUCAACCUUCCCAUAUCGUAUCCGUUAACAACUUAGACUUCAGAUCAAGUUUUCAUCCCACAAGUUUAGGUCUAGAGCAAGCCUUAAAUUAUAACAGUUAUAUCUAAACUUGAGAGAGAACUUCAAAUAUUCAAAUUAGGCAGAGCAACUAUUCAUCAUAUCCAUGCUUAAGUUUUAUUAGAUAUAGAUUAGCAUAGCCACUUUAUUUAUUUAUUAAACACACUAAGCAAAAUAUAUAUAAGCAUAAAAUCUUUAUUUGGUUUUUCAUAGUUAUGUGUAUUUAUAUUCUAAUAUAGUAUAAGUAUAAAGAUAGAUAGAAAUACUUAUCGAGAUAAAUGGGGGUGCUCUCCCCCAAGCUGAAUUUUGACGUAAUUUCUUGAUGUAGCUAGCAGGUGGCAGAGGUGUAUUUGAAAUUCAGCAGCAUUCUGACAGCGAUUAGAAUGUCCUCCGUCUGCUAGUCUUCUUGAUUCUUAAAUUCUGUGGAGCUCAAAUAGACAACAAAGCUUGUGGAACUGGUUAAGUGUUAGCAUAAAUAUCUAGCCUUUAUCAUGUUGAGACUCCUUAAUAAAUAUUACUCCCUGUUUUUAUAUUUUUAUUUUUAUAAAGCAGAAAAAUAUUUAUUUUAUUUUUAUGCCACCACAGUGAAUGUACUUAUGGGUUUUAUGCCACUCGUCUACUCACAUGGGGCUUACAGUUUUUUGUCACAUUUUUAUUUUCUUUCUAGGAUAAUACGAACAUGAUUAACUAAGUAAACUAUUUGAAAUAAUUAAAAGGGAAAGGAUAACUACCAAGUUUACCUCUUGGCAAGGCGUUCGGUGUUUUUAAGUCCUCCGAGCGGGACUCUCCAUUUUCUUAAUCGUCCUGGGAUUCGCUGGAUGACGUAGUCGGUGAUUCCGGUGGCGCCUCCUCUUCGUGUGUAACUAUAUUCUCUCUCCACACCUGACUCGGUGCUAUGGUCUCCUCAGGACAGUUAUGUUCAAGUGGUAUGUCUUCAGUCCUUAUCACUUCUCCUUCGUAGUCUACCCAUCCGUCCUUGAUGAUUUGCCUCCUCUGGUUGCGGUUGCGUUGUCUUCUUCUUGUCCUGACGUGGUCUUCUCCGGUUCCAAUGUAGAUGAUGGCUUUGAUAGUGCUAAGGAACGGUCUUCUAAGGAUGAUGGGUGGAUCGUACUCGUCUUCUCCCAUGUUAAUGACCUAAAAAUCAUCUGGAGCUGAAUGUAUGUUGGUUGUAGGGGCAUGGUUCCAUGCAGGAGCUGAUAAGUGACUGCGGCCAUUAUGUUGACGUCAGAUCCGGUGUCGUAGAGUGUCUUCUAAAAAGAGUAUUUGUUGAUUGUGCACUCAAUGCUUGGAACACCAGGGUCGUCCUUCUUGAUCAAGAAAGGUGACUUGAAUCGACGAUCUUGACCUCCUUGAGCUGCAGUGACCAUCUUAGCUGACUCGGUCCACAUUUGCUUGUUCUUGUUCCUCCUGUUGGUCCUCUUCCUCGGUUCAUGUCGGGAUUGCUCUGAAAUUUGUGUAGUCUUGUUCUUGAAGGAAAGUCUCCUUCUUCCCCUUGAUGUAGAGACUGAUCUUGGCAGCAUUAGCGUAGAUGACAGCUCUAGUGUUUAGGAAUGGCCUCCCUAAGAUGAUGGGUGCCCUCUCCUCAGUACCAGUCUCUAUCACCAUGAAGUCUGCUAGAGCAUACAAGGUACCAACUCGGACGCAGAGGUUCUUCAAUAUUUCCUUUGGGAAACUGAGUGUCCGAUCUGCAACCUUGGGCAUAAUGUUGACGCUGGAGCCAAAGUCGCAGAGUGCUUCUGGGAAGUCCACCAUGCCGAUGGAGAUCGGGAUGACGAGGCGUCCUAGAUCACCUCUCUGAGUAAUUAGGCCUCUGUUGAUUCCAACCUUGAUGUUGUUGAGGACGGUUGUAGUAAUAGUUGUUAUGGUUGUUGAUGUAGUUCACGUCCUCAAGCAUCUUAGGGCAGUGAUUGCCUGAGCGUCCAGUAUCUCCAGUGUGUUUGUGCUCGUAGAUCCUAGUUCUUCACUUGGUGGAAUCUGGGAGUUGUAAAACUCCUUCAUAUUAUGCUCGAAGUGUUCCUGCUCAUAGAGACAAGGUAGAGAUCAAGUGCAUGGGCCCUGUUGGUGGAAAACACCAACAAAACCAAAAGUGUAUUUGUUCUUCUCUAACCUUAAGCAUAGUGAGCAAGACAAAGUUGAUGGAUCAUGAGUGUAGCAUUUGUCAGAUCAGAUGGCUCAACCUAAUGGAAAGAUAAUCUAUCUAUAUUUAUGUUUUGUUUAUAUCUUCCAAAGAUUUAAUGUGCAAUACUUUAGCUUAUAUGAUUAGGAGUGUGGGGUCACGAAGGUAGUACUAAGAACAAAGAUUAAAGGACUAAACAUGUUGAAUUAAUUGAGUUGGUUAAUUUGGAGUUAUAAAUCAUACAUGUUUGUCUCUUUAUUUUAUGUGAACGCUAGAACCAAGGAGAAACUUAUAAAAGUGAUAGUCAAGUACCUUAAGAUGUUACCUUAUUUGAAGAGUGAUGGUACAGUAUCACCUUGUGGAAGCUUUCCUUUCUUAGCGGUUGUGCAUCGUGUUUGUGGCACCCUCCAUGAAUCAUCUCUUAUGAGCUACGUCUUUCUUGUGCAAAUUGUUAAACUUCAUGUGUCACUUUCUUCAUCUCUAAUGAGUUUGCAUCUCAGGACUUCCCAGGUUGAUAUUGAAAGUUUUCCUACAGGGGUUAGUCCAACAAAAUAUACCAAUAUCUACUCAAGCAGUUUUUAGUUCAGUAACCAAACUAGACUCCAUGUCUAAUCAGAUUAAGGAAGGCUAUUUAACCUAAGCACCACGCUUAAUUUAAAUGCCAUUGGAAGUGUGACCAGUACUUCCAAACUAACACUUACUAGGAUAAACAAAGGUAGCAUGAUGGCUUUUAUAGAGAUCUACUCAAGUGGAGAUGAAGUAGUGUGAUUAGUAUUUAAAAAAUUGAGCAUGUCUCAAAGGUAAGGACAACCAACAUAGCAACAUGGCAAAGGAUGUUUUAUGUAAAGUACUCCCCCAAGCUUGAAUUUUGCAAAAUUCAAGAUUAGAUGAAUUUAAUUUAAUGUUGCAUGAUGAUUGGUUGGGCAUACCUUGCGCUUGUCAUUCAUCCGAUCUUCUUGCUCCAAUCCUAGAAAGGUUAGUGGCAAGAAUACCCGAAGGAAUUUUUCUACAAUUAUCUUUAUAUGCUCAAUACACAAGGCAAUGUUGCAAAUAAUUAGAAGUGCUUGUUUUAGGACACUAAGCUUGUCCUUGGGAAACCAUCAAUCAACUCAACGAGAUCUGUAAUAGUUAUUAUAGACAUAUGCAUCGACAACCGCCCUUUUAAAGUUUUUAUAAAUAGAAAGGAAAAGGGGGUUGGAGAUCUCAAAUGUGGUAAGGAUGGAGAGACAAAUUGAUUGGAGAGAUGUUUUAUAUGAGCAAGGACUGGGUGAGGUAUUUAUGAAAUAACUUCCAUGCUCACUGUUGUUUCUCUCAUUCUCAAACUCCAAGGAUGAUUCUUCAUGAAUGUUUAAAAUUCCUCUAGGAUUGUCUCUCAAGUUUGUUUUAUCUAUCCAUUCAAUGGAGAUAGCACAUGGAUUUUUAAUGCCCUCUAGCCAUUGAUGUUGCUCUUCUCGAUCCUCCUUCUUAUGCAUGGGAUGUCUAGAAAGAUUCAUAGGAUUAUCGGGAGGUUCAAGAGGAAGAGCAUAGUAGAAACUAUUAAGCUCAAGGAUGGGAUGGAUAGCCGAAUUAUGGGUUUGAAAUGUUUGGAAAUUGGCUAUUGAAACUUCCUUUCCUUGUCUGGGAGAUGAUUCCUUCUCUAUUUCUAAGAUUUUUCUAUGAAGACUAGUACAAGAUGGAUGUCCACGAAUAAAGACAUACCUUCCUUUACUAAUAGAUAAAGAAAGAAAGACUCUACCAAAGUUUAUAUGAUUAAGACCAAUGUGAAAAUAUUUAGGAAAAACAUGGUCUUGUAGGGCUAGGUCUAAACCAGAAUUUAUAGAAAGAUUAAAAGAUUCCCUAGGUGUAGCUAAAAGUGCAUUAUCUUUUUGAUUAAAAGAUAGGACCUCAGCUAUAGAAAAGGGUUGGUUUUGACCUAUUGCAAUCAACUCCGGACACAUAUCAUAAUUAGGGGCAGGACGUGUUGACUCCCAUGGUCUAUGGCUGGUCUCCGAAGGUGCAAAGAAUUCAAUAAUAGGUAUGGAAUUUGAGUUAUCCAUAAAGAUAAAAAUAAAAAGAUAAAAGAAUAAAAGUAUAAAAGUAUAAUACAAGAUAAUAGCAAGACUCAAAGUUAUCUCAGCAAACCGUCUUUCUCCCCGGCAACGGCGCCAGAAAUGCUUGUUGAUAUUUGGUAACGCAAUUAGAAAAUGAUCCGCAAGCGCACGGAUAUCGGUGAGCAUUUCACCCGGGAGGUUAUCCAGAGUUAUCGUAUUUAUAUUUUUACCACUGGGAGAAAGGGUGCAUCUGACUAACCAAAUCUAUUGCUACUAUCCCUUUAGGCUAGAAAGAAUGUCUCUCGAUGUGAGUGAUGUAUAGAGAAGACUGCAACCUUAGUCUCGUUCUAACCUUGGUAAGGAUGAUCUACUGUUCUAUUGGGGAGGCUCACGGAAUCUAGACAACACAAAGGAUGUUCGACCCGCACCUAUAAACCUACCCGUCCUGCUAACGAGAUGUGAUCUGCAAAGGUAACUCGGAAAUGUCACAUUCCUCGCUACUACCACGGUCCAGCUAGUCAGGGGAUAUCUAUGAGUACCCUAGCCUAAACACCACGUUUACGCUAACAAGUGAUUAGUCUAAUACUCAACCGGAAGAGGAUUAAAGUAAACUCAUAAACCAAAGAACAAUAAAACAAGAACUUACUAGAAUUAGAAGUCGAAUUACUGAAGAAUCUUAGAAGCAAGCCUCGGGUUAGGAGACUUGAUCCCGCAGGUACAACUCGGAGUAGACACCGACAGGCCAGCCUUCCUCCGAUCCACACCUCCACUCUAUCUCUCUCAAUCUAGUAGAAACUAGAAGAUCUAUUUCUACCUUACAUUGGUUGCUAAGCCUAAAAAGAAAUAUUAUUUAGAGAAGAGGUUUUCCUUCGAGGGCACCCCUCAAUCUCUAUGAUAAUUUCUUGUCUUCUCCAGGGCCAGAGGGGGUCUCCUUAUAUAGUUCUCCCCUUCUAUGCGUUUUUGGGUCAAUAGGCUAGGUGGUACUAUGUUAUUCUGGAUCCAAUAGGUCGGUGGAACGUCGUGUGCGAAGAGAGUCCGGAACGGAGUCCAGAGGGGGGCGGGCGCCCAGGUCCUCAGGGCGGGCGCCCUGGGCCUGGCCCCUUUCCGGCUCCGCUUCCUUCCCGUUGCUUAUGGAGUCUUCUAGAUGGUAGAAAAUUGCGCGGUGGGUUGAUAUCUCUAUGUAAUCCCGACAUGUGGGCCUUUCUUCCUUAUUUCCUGAUAAUCCCCUGCAGAAAUAGACAAACACCAAAACUCGUGGAAUUCUGUCAGAUAAAACCCUAAGUCUAGAUGUUGAUUUCAUUUGGAUCCUUUUCUUUGUUUAUUUGAUAAUUAAAUUUGAUACUUAAGGACCAUCAACAAUAGACAUAGCCCUUUGAAGUAGAGAAACCAUAGUUAUCCUCUCUAUUCUGCUACCAUCGCCCAUAUACUAGAUUGCUCUACUCUCUAUUCCCAUAUUAUCACCCAUUGUUAUCUUACCUUUAAUAUUGUUCUUAUUUAAUUCUACCAUCUUUCCUAUUUACACAUAUCUAUCUAUCUUGGUUAAGUUACAGCGUAGUUGGUUCUCCCGAUUCCCUGUGGAUACAAUAAGACCUUUAACCGGGUAAAAGCUACAACAGUAUCCGUGCGCUUGCGGAUUUAUCUGUGUGCGUAUAAAUACCAUAGUACACUCUAGUGCCAUGCUGGGGAUGACAACCUAGUAUUCAAGUGGUGUUUGCAAGUGUCAACACCUCUCAACCCUAAUUCAUUGUUCCUCAAGGGAGAAGAAGCCUCUGGUCAAGCCUAGAGCCACCACAUCAAUUAGACAUCUAGAUUAGCAUAGCUACAUAGGAUUAGAACUAGGAGUCAAUCUUCGAUUCGUUUCCGGAUCUGUCAAGAGGAUUCUUAGUUCUCUAAUUAUUCUUCUAAUUGUUUAUCUUUGUUCUUCAUUAUUAUGAAUAUGACUUUGUUCUAUUUCAAUAUAUUGCUUAUGACUUUGCUCUACUUGUUUAUAUUCAAGAUUAUAUUGUUCUUAGUGUAUCAUAGUUAUAUACUUGGCUUAGUUAGAUUGGAUCUAUAUACAUGUUUAGGAUCGUAUAGCGUUUAUCCAUAGGAUCCAUGGGUAAAUGAUAGAUAUUGUGUAGGCGUGGUGCUUAUACCGUAUUUAUCUGCGAUUGUACCCAAUAUGCCAGAUCGUGGGGUAGUUCGUGAUAGUGACAACUUCAUUGAUUCUUAUAUAGUAUCCCUCUCGUGUAUUGGGCUGGCAGAGCAACAUUGUUACAGGGGAGUGAUUACGAUGUUUAUCAUAUUCCUUGCUAAUAUCACUAUGUAUGGGCGUAGUCUUGUCUCACAAUGAUUGCUAAGUAUGCUUGCACUAACUAUGAUAAUGCUAGACUAUAUAGUUGAGAAUAACUUAGGAAAUAUUCUUGUAGUUCGUUCUAAUUCCAUGCUAAUGACUUGCUAGAAUAUCUAAUUGAGGUGCUUAUCAUAUUUAUUAUGUGGCUAAGUUAUGCUGAUCAGAUUAAUUUUCUUUGUCACUAUUUAUUACUUUAUAUCCUUUAUGUGACACUUACCCCUGUAUGAAAGAGUUAGAUAAAUGUUCUCAAUUAUACAUGCAAUGAUAGAUACCCAAUCUCAUAUUCCAUUCUAUAAUCAACAUUGAUGAUUGCUAAUCCCUUCCCAGUGGUAAAAAUAUAAAUAACGAUGCCUAGAAUACUUCCCGGUUAAAAUGCUACAUCGGUAUUAAUCUGUGCGCUUGUAGAUCCCAUUCAUUAUUUAUUUAGAUGAGCAAUUGCAUAUUUCAAUACUGCGUCUAUCAUAUCAUGCUAGGGAUGACAACUUGGCUUAAGUGGUAUGAGGGAUAGGUUUGGCAUUUUUCGCACCAUUAUCAGAAUUAGAAAACUAAGUCUUGUCACACCCAUAUUUUAAGAACAAAAUAGGAUGCAUAUAAGACUCAUAUGUGCCCCAGAAACAGUCGCACACAUAAGUAGAUAAAUCUCAAAUGUACCAUUGCAGUGUUUAUUACAUAGCGGAACAAUAAUAAAUCACAUAGUCUUACACAAAAAUAAUAUGAGAUAAACAACGCUCUUGACGGAAGCACCACACAGGGACACUGUUGACUGGUUGACUCCAAACCUAGUACUCAUAACGGUAAUCCUCAUUCCAGUCAUCUUCAUUAUCAUAUCCUGAGGUGUUAGGAAAUUGCAAGAGUGAGCACAUAUCGUACUCAACAAGUAUAACCAGGGGUUCAUGAGGCUCAAAUAGCUGACACUGGUUUGACUGCAUUUAGCUUUUAAUAGUGGAUAGCAUGUUUACUCAUUGGAUAGCAAAUCUCAAGGUAGCAUUAUUAAAUCCCAUAACCACAUGAUCAAUGUAUACAAGAAUUAAGAAUAACACAUAUAAACAACAUAAUAAACCAUCAUUUAUUAUCAUUAUUCACGUUCAUCAGUGUCCAUCUAUUCCGUCAGUUUUCCGAGCCGCCCGUAUCUGUGGGCACGGCUAGUAUACCAUAUUUAACACUCUGCAGAGGUUGUACAUCUUUACCCAUGAGUCGUGAUUUACCCUUUCGCCCGAGGUUGCAAGUCUCUGAACCCCCUUCCUAGGGAGGUCGGCAGGGAUCACUAUGAAGCCUUUCAAAGGUUUCGUCUAACAAGUUAGGGCGAUUAGAUUCACUCGGCACGCAGAUAUAGAGCCUCCCUUCCAUGGCACAUAACCCGCAGCCUAUACACAUGGACAGAGGCCACACUAUACCCAACGUGUCUAGCCAUUCUUACGCCAUUUAAGGUAACCACUAACAAGCUAGAAAAGGUCAUACUGAGCUAAAACCAGAGCCAUAUAGCCCUCAUGGUUGUACGAAUUGUCCCAGCUUUUGCCAAGGGAUAAGUCCUUAUGGAGGGUCAAGAUCAAUCUAGCAAAAGCUAGAGUUCUUUCCACCCUUUAUGUUCAAGUUGCUAGAAAGCUUAUUUUAUUGUUUAUUGUACAUUCAAAUAUUCAUGUUACAAGAUCAUGGGUUAAUAUUCAAGCACUAGCAAGAACUACCCAAAUGCAUAUCCAAAAUAGGUAAUAAGGAAUUCAGGAUAACAAUCAUCUAUGAUUUUGCUAAGGUCAUCAAGGUGGACACAUGCAUAUGAUAAAUAUUGUAUUAAUUGUGUAUAGGUAACAAGGAUGAUCCCAAGUUAUACUUGCCUUGCUCAAAGCUCUCCUGAGCCUGCUGGUCUUCAAAGGCUUGGUCUUGAUCACCAACGUACGGCUCACCGUCUAUUUCCAAACAUUAAUCAACAACACGCAAUCCAAUGUAGACAAUCAUACACAAAGCAAACAACUAUAAUUAGAACAUUACACCAAACAGUAGUAAAACAAAUUUAAAAGUUUACCAAAAUAUUCUAUGCAGCUCUACGAUCACACAAACGUAAAGUUCACGAAAAUCGGAAUUAAAACGGAGUAGUUAUGCAAUUUCCAAGAUUUCCUAUAGAGAAAUAAUUAAUUAAAUGCUACUGCAGAACUAAAAAGUUUCAAAACAGUAAACUAAUACUUCUAACAUGUAGGGAUCGUAAAUACGAAUCCAAUGGAAUUUGAAUGGACAAAAACGGAGUUAAAAUGAGCAUUUUAUAAGCAAAACAAAUCCAGUGGCAAUUCUAUAAUUAGCUAAAAACGUAUUUAGCUUCAUCCCGAACGAAAAUACGCUUUCUACUCAGCAACGCGUAUUUUCCGGAGGGCGCCAAGGACCGCGGGCGAAUUACAAAAGAACACACGGACUCUUUAGAAAGAUUUCCAACGAAGGGGUAUCUUCAUUUGCUGGCCAUCCGAUCUCCAUCCGACGGCCGAGAUUUAGCAACGCGUAUUUUCCGGAGGGCGCCAAGGACCGCGGGCGAAUUACAAAAGAACACACGGACUCUUUAGAAAGAUUUCCAACGAAGGGGUAUCUUCAUUUGCUGGCCAUCCGAUCUCCAUCCGACGGCCGAGAUUUCUCCAGGGGUUAACAGCGGCGGCGGCCGACCAGCUUCCUGGUCUCCGGUGCGGUGGCGCCAUUGUUGCCACUGUUGAUAUUUGGUAACGCAAUUAGAAAAUGAUCCGCAAGCGCACGGAUAUCGGUGAGCAUUUCACCCAGGAGGUUUUCCAGAGUAUCGUAUUUAUAUUUUUACCACUGGGAGAAAGGGUGCAUCUGACUAACCAAAUCUAUUGCUUCUACCCCUUUAGGCUACAAAGAAUGUCUCUCGAUGUGAGUGAUGUAUAGAGAAGACUACAACCGUAGUCUCAUUCUAACCUUGGUAAGGAUAAUCUACUGUUCUAUUGGGGAGGCUCACGGAAUCUAGACAACACAAAGGAUGUUCGACCCGCACCUAUAACCCUACCCGUCCUGCUAACGAGAUGUGAUCUACAAAGGUAACUCGGAAAUGUCACGUUCCUCGCUACUACCACGGUCCAGCUAGUCAGGGGAUAUCUAUGAGUACCCUAGCCUAAACACCACGUUUACGCUAACAAGUGAUUACUCUAAUACUCAACCGGAAGAGGAUUAAAGUAAACUCAUAAACCAAAGAACAAUAAAACAAGAACUUACUAGUAUUAGAAGUCGAAUUACUGAAGAAUCUUAGAAGCAAGCCUUGGGUUAGGAGACUUGAUCCCGUAGGUACAACUCGGAGUAGACACCGACAGGCCGGCCUUCCUCCGAUCCACACCUCCACUCUAUCUCUCUCAAUCUAGUAGAAACUAGAAGAUCUAUUUCUACUUUACAUUGGAUGCUAAGCCUAAAAAGAAAUAUUAUUUAGAGAAGAGGUUUUCCUUCGAGGGCACCCCUCAAUCUCUAUGAUAAUUUCUUGUCUUCUCCAGGGCCAGGGGGGCCUUGCUUAUAUAGUCCUCCACUUCUAUGCGUUUUUGGGUCGAUAGGCGAGGUGGUACUAUGUUUUCCUUGAUCCAAUAGGUCGGUGGAACGUCGUGUGCGAAGAGAGUCCGGAACGGAGUCCAGAGGGGGGCGGGCGCCCAGGUCCUCAGGGCGGGUGCCCUGGGCCUGGCCCCUUUCGGGCUCCGCUUCCUUCCCGUGGCUUCUAGAGUCUUCUAGAUGGUAGAAAAUUGCGCGGUGGGUUGAUAUCUCUAUGUAAUCCCGACAUGUGGGCCUUUCUUCCUUAUUUCCUGAUAACCCCCUGCAGAAAUAGACAAACACCAAAACUCGUGGAAUUCUGUCAGAUAAAACCCUAAGUCUAGAUGUUGAUUUCAUUUGGAUCCUUUUCUUUGUUUAUUUGAUAAUUAAAUUUGAUACUUAAGGACCGUCAACAAACUCCCCCAAGCUUACCUCUUGCUCGUCCCUGAGCAAGGAUAGACUCAGCUAUGGAUCAUAAAUUGUUGCAAUAUUUUUAAAAAUUGAUGUACACAUGCUUUUUAAAUAAGAUCUCAUCUCUGAGUUAGAGUAAACUGUCAAGACUUAAAACUUACUUACUUUACCUUUCACCAUGGGACUUGUAACCGUCACUUCUGUCUUGAGUGGUUAAAAGAUAGAACAGUCUAGCCAAGUGCCAUGUCUCUUAUUCUUGAUCAGCUAUAGCUCUAGAGUUUUUGCAGAUUUUCAAAUAAAACUCAGAGAUUCCUUGUAUGAUUCUCUCAGAUCUCUCUUUUGUGGUAUUUUUGGAUCCUUACCAAGGCAGUAAUGGGAUAUGCCUUCUCUCAAUAUAUGUAGUAUUUGUGGUAUGAAGCAUAGUGACAUUGUCUUCUCUCUCACCCUACUCUAAUAAGGCUUUAAUAUCUGGAGCUCAUAGGUGGGAGAUAAAGUAUACAUACUUACAAGACAUUUAUUGCAUAGUCAAACCAUGGAUCUAAAGAAACAAAUCAAUAAGCCAAAUCAAGAUGUGCAUGUGUGGCGAAUGAAUGGUGUAUGGUGAUGAUGGUGAUAACAAUGGUGGUGGAAGUCUAAUUCUACUUUGCUCUUUGAGGGGAUACAUACCUUCCUUGCUUUUGAAACUUUAUGAGGAGAAUGAGAUGCUCUUCUUUUUUUUUCUCAGGUGGGUAUCUUGCACCCCUAAUUCUACUGUCGGACACUUGUCCAUUUUUACCUCUCGUCUCACUUUUUCUUUUCUUUCGAGGUUCCGAGCACUUGCUCCUUUUUAUUUCCUCGUAUCUCUUUUUUUUCUUUUCUUUCUUUUUUUUAGAGCACUCAUCUCCUGAAAUAAUAUAGCAAGUGGUAGUAACCAGGAUAACUCGAGCAUUUAUUUCACAGGGAAUAACAGGGAUAGGAUAAUAUUUUUGGAUAUUCUCUCCUGGAUUAGGAGUAGAAUAAUUUUUGGGUGAAUGUGGAGAUGGAAAUGAGUGGAUAUAUUUGGAUGGUACUUCCGGAGUAGAAGUAGCAUGUAUGAGUGAACGUGCAAGUGAAUCUUGAUUUAACCAUAUGACAAGCUCCUAAGGGUCUACACAGCUUGACCACACUCAAUGCUCAUAAGCAGAAAAAAGUAAAUAUGUGGCUCAAAGUCUAGCAAGCAUGUAUAUAUGGCUGUGGUAGGAAUUUAAACUCUCAUCAUAUAGGAACUCAUCAUGUGUUAUUUUAAAGAUUUUUAAAGAUAAAAUUCUCCAGAAUUCUAGCAUCUCUAGGAACAGAUAAACAGCAGCUCAACCUUCCCAUAUCGUAUCCGUUAACAACUUAGACUUCAGAUCAAGUUUUUAUCCCACAAGUUUAGGUCUAGAGCAAGCCUUAAAUUAUAACAGUUAUAUCUAAACUCGAGAGAGAACUUCAAAUUUGCAAAUUAGGCAGAGCAACUAUUCAUCAUAUCCAUGCUUAAGUUUUAUUAUUAAGAUUCAGAUUAGCAUAGCCACUUUAUUAAACACACUAAGCAAAAUAUAUAUAAGCAUAAAAUCUUUAUUUGGUUUUUUAUAGUUAUGUGUAUUUAUAUUCUAAUAUAGUAUAAGUAUAAAGAUAGAUAGAAAUACUUAUCGUGAUAAAUGGGGGUGCUCUCCCCCAAGCUGAAUUUUGACGUAAUUUCUCUUGAUGUAGCUAGCACGUGGCAGAGGUGUGUUUGAAAGUCAGCAGUAUUUUGACAGCGAUUAGAAUGUCCUCCGUCUGCUAGUCUUCUUGAUUCUUAAAUUCUGUGGAGCUCAAAUAGACAACAAAGCUUGUGGAACUGAUUAAGUGUUAGCAUAAAUAUCUAGCCUGUAUCAUGUUGAGACUCCUUAAUAAAUAUUACUCCCUGUUUUUAUAUUUUUGUUUUUAUAAAGUAGAAAAAUAUUUAUUUUAUUUUUAUGCCACCACAGUGAAUGUACUUAUGGGUUUUAUGCCACUCGUCUACUCACAUGGGGCUUACAGUUUUUUUUUCACAUUUUUAUUUUCUUUCUAGGAUAAUACGAACAUGAUUAACUAAGUAAACUAUUUGAAAUAAUUAAAAGGGAAAGGAUAACUACCAAGUUUACCUCUUGGCAAGGCGUUCGGUGUUUUUAAGUCCUCCGAAUGGGACUCCUUGUGUUUUCAGUCAUCCUGGGAUUCGCUAGGUGGCGUAGUCGGUGAUUCCGGUGGCGCCUCCUCUUUGUGUAUAACUAUGUUCUCUUUCCACACCUGACUCGGUGCUACGGUCUCCUCAGGACAGUUCUGUUCAAGUUGUAUGUCUUCAGUCCUUAUCACUUCUCCUUCGUAGUCUACCCAUCCGUCCUUGAUGAUUUUACUCCUCUGGUUGCGGUUGCGUUGUCUUCUUCUUGUCCUGACCUGCUUAGAGUCUUCAACUAUAUAGUUAGGGUCAAUAAAAUAGCGGCGUACCUUCUUAGAGGGGAAGUGCAUGUGGACUUCUCCGGUUCCAAUGUAGAUGAUAACUUUGAUAGUGUUGAUGAACGGUCUUCUAAGGAUGGUGGGUGGAUCAUACUCGUCUUCUCCCAUGUCAAUGACCUGAAAAUCAUCUGGAGCUGAAUAUAUUGGUUGUAGGGGCAUGGUUCCAUGCAAGAGCUGAUAAGUGACUACGGCCAUUAUGUUGUCGUCAGAUCCGGUGUCGUAGAGUGUCUUCUAAAAAGAGUAUCCAUUGUUUGUGCAUUUGAUUCUUGGAACACCAGGGUCGUCCUUCUUGAUCAAGAAAGGUGACUUGUGUCGACGAUCUUGACCUCCUUGAACUGCAGUGACCAUCUUAGCUGACUCUAUCCACAUUUGCUUGUUCUUGUUUCCUCCUGUUGGUCCUCUUUCUUGGUUGAUGUCAGGGUUGCUCUGAAGUUUGUGUCGUCUUGUUCUUGAAGGAAAGUCUCCUUCUUCCCCUUGAUGUAGAGACUGAUCUUGGCAGCAUUAGCGUAGAUGACAGCUCUGGUGUUUAGGAAUGGCCUCCCUAAGAUGAUGGGUGCCCUCUCCUCAGUGCCAGUCUCUAUCACCACGAAGUUUGCUGGAGUGUGCAAGGUACCAACUCGGACAUAGAGGUUCUUCAAUAUUUCCUUUGGGAAACUAAGUGUCUGAUCUCCAUUGUGUUUGUGCUCGUAGAUCCCGGUUCUUCACUUGAUGGAAUCUGGGAGUUGUAAAACGCCUUCACGUUUCUCAAAAUGUGUCCUGCUCAUAGAGACAAGGCAGAGAUCAAGUGCAUGGGCCCUGUUGGUGGAAAACACCAACAGAACCAAAAGUGUAUUUGUUCUUCUCUAACCUUAAGCAUAGUGAGCAAGACAAAGUUGAUGGAUCAUGAGUGUAGCAUUUAAAACAUUUGUUAGAUCAGAUGGCUCAACCUAAUGGAAAGAUAAUCUAUCUAUAUUUAUGUUUUGUUUAUAUCUUUCAAAGAUUGAAUGUGCAAUACUUUAGCUUAUAUGAUUAGGAGUGUGGGAUCACGAAGGUAGUACUAAGAACAAAGAUUAAAGGACUAAACAUGUUGAAUUAAUUGGGUUGGUAAAUUUGGAGUUAUAAAUCAUACAUGUUUGUCUCUUUAUUUAUGUGAAUGCCAGAACCAAGGAGAAGCUUAUAAAAGUGUUGGUCAAGUACCUUAAGAUGUUACCUUACUUGAAGAGUGAUGGUACAGUAUCACCUUGUGGAAGCUUUCCUUUCUUAGCGGUUGUGUAUCGUGUUUGUGGCACUCUCCAUGAAUCAUCUCUUUAUGAUGAAUGAGCUAUGUCCUUCUUGUGUAAAUUGUUAAACUUCAUGUGUCUCCUUUAUCUCCAAUGAGUUUGUAUCUCAGGACUUCCCAGGUUGAUAUUGAAAGUUUUCCUGCAGGGGUUAGUCCAACAAAAUAUCCCAUAUCUACUAUAGCAUACUAUCGUCUCAAAAAUCAACCUAGACACCAUGUCUAAUUUGAUUUAGGAGGGCAUUUUAACCUAAGCACCAUGCUUAAUUUAAAAAUCCUUUGGAAGUGAGAUCAUCAUUCCUAAACUAAGCACCACGCUUGAUUUAAGAGAUAAAUGAAACUACUCCAAACCUAGACAUAUACUAAAGCAAAUAAAGGUAGCAUGAGAGCAUUUAUAGCGAUCUACUCAAGUGGAGGUGAAGUAGUGUAAUUAGUACUUAACAAAUUGAGCAUCUCUCAAAGGUAGGGACAACCAACGUAGCAACAUGGCAAAGGAUGUUUUUAUGUAAAGUACUCCCCCAAGCUUGAAUUUUGCAAAAUUCAAGUUUGGAUGAAUUUAAUUCAAUGUUGUGUGAUGGUUGGUUGGACAUACCUUGUGCUUGUUAUUCAUCCGAUCUUCUUGCUCCAAUCCUGGAAAGGUUAGUGACAAGAAUACCCGAAGGAAUAUUUCUACAAUAUGCUCAAUACACAAGGCAAUGUUGCAAAUAAGUGCUUGUUUUAGGACACUAAGCUUGUCCUUGGGAAACCAUCAAUUAACUCAACGAGAUCUGCAAUAUUUAUUAUAGACAUAUGCAUCGACAACCACUCUUUUAAAGUUUUUAUAAAUAGAAAAGAAGAGAGGGUUGGAUAUCUCAAAUGUGACAAGGAUGGAGAGACUAAUUGAUUGGAGAGAUGUUUUAUAUGAGCAAGGACUGGGUGAGGUAUUUAUGAAAUAACUUUCAUGCUCACUGUUGUUUCUCUCAUUCUCAAACUCCAAGGAUGUUUCUUCAUGAAUGUUUAAAAUUCCUCUAGGAUUGUCUCUCAAGUUUGUUUUAUCUAUCCAUUCAAUGGUGAUAGCACAUGGAUUUUUAAUGCCCUCUAGCCAUUGAUGCUGCUCUUCUCGAUCCUCCUUGUAGUCUUGGUGACUCUUAUGAAUGGGAUGUCUAGAUAGAUUCAUAGGAUUAUCGGGAGGUUCAAGAGAAAAAGCGUAGUAGAAAUUAUUAGGCUCAAGGAUGGGUUGGAUAGCCGAAUCAUGGGAUUGGAAUGUUUGGAAAUCGGCUAUUGAAACUUCCUUUCCUCGUCUGGGAGAUGAUUCCUUCUCUAUCUCUAUGAUUUUUCUAUGAAGACUAGUACAAGAAGGAUGUCCACAAAUGAAGACAUACCUUCCUUUACUAAUAGAUAAAGAAAGAAAGACUCUACCAAAGGUUAUAUGAUUAAGACCAAUGUGAAAAUAUCGAGAAAAAACAUGGUCUUGUAGGGCUAGGUCUAAACCAGAAUUUAUAAAAAGAUUAAUAGAUUCCCUAGGUGUAGCUAAAAGUGCAUUAUCUUUUUGAUUAAUAGAUAGGACCUCGGCUAUAGAAAAGGGUUGGUUUUGACCUAUUGCAAUCAACUCCGGACACAGAUCAUAAUUAGGGGCAGAACGUGUUGACUCCCAUGGUCUAUGGAUGGUCUCCGAAGGUGCAAAGAAUUCAAUAAUAGGUAUGGAAUUUAAGUUAUCCAUAAAGAUAAAAAUAAAAAGAUAAAAGAAUAAAAGUAUAAAAGUAUAAUACAAGAUAAUAGCAAGACUCAAAGUUAUCUCAGCAAACCGUCUUUCUCCCCGGCAACGGCGCCAGAAAUGCUUGUUGAUAUUUGGUAACGCAAUUAGAAAAUGAUCCGCAAGCGCACGGAUAUCGGUGAGCAUUUCACCCGGGAGGUUUUCCAGAGUAUCGUAUUUAUAUUUUUACCACUGGGAGAAAGGGUGCAUCUGACUAACCAAAUCUAUUGCUACUACCCCUUUAGGCUACAAAGAAUGUCUCUCGAUGUGAGUGAUGUAUAGAGAAGACUACAACCGUAGUCUCAUUCUAACCUUGGUAAGGAUAAUCUACUGUUCUAUUGGGGAGGCUCACGGAAUCUAGACAAUACAAAGGAUGUUCGACCCGCACCUAUAACCCUACCCGUCCUGCUAACGAGAUGUGAUCUACAAAGGUAACUCGGAAAUGUCACGUUCCUCGCUACUACCACGGUCCAGCUAGUCAGGGGAUAUCUAUGAGUACCCUAGCCUAAACACCACGUUUACGCUAACAAGUGAUUACUCUAAUACUCAACCGGAAGAGGAUUGAAGUAAACUCAUAAACCAAAGAACAAUAAAACAAGAACUUACUAGUAUUAGAUGUCGAAUUACUGAAGAAUCUUAGAAGCAAGCCUCGGGUUAGGAGACUUGAUCCCGUAGGUACAACUCGGAGUAGACACCGACAGGCCGGCCUUCCUCCGAUCCACACCUCCACUCUAUCUCUAUCAAUCUAGUAGAAACUAGAAGAUCUAUUUCUACUUUACAUUGGAUGCUAAGCCUAAAAAGAAAUAUUAUUUAGAGAAGAGGUUUUCCUUCGAGGGCACCCCUCAAUCUCUAUGAUAAUUUCUUGUCUUCUCCAGGGCCAGGGGGGCCUUGCUUAUAUAGUCCUCCCCUUCUAUGCGUUUUUGGGUCGAUAGGCGAGGUGGUACUAUGUCUUCCUUGAUCCAAUAGGUCGGUGGAACGUCGUGUGCGAAGAGAGUCCGGAACAGAGUCCAGAGGGGGGCGGGCGCGCAGGUCCUCAGGGCGGGCGCCCUGGGCCUGGCCCCUUUCGGGCUCCGCUUCCUUCCCGUGGCUUCCGGAGUCUUCUAGAUGGUAGAAAAUUGCGCGGUGGGUUGAUAUCUCUAUGUAAUCCCGACAUGUGGGCCUUUCUUCCUUAUUUCCUGAUAACCCCCUGCAGAAAUAGACAAACACCAAAACUCGUGGAAUUUUGUCAGAUAAAACCCUAAGUCUAGAUGUUGAUUUCAUUUGGAUCCUUUUCUUUGUUUAUUUGAUAAUUAAAUUUGAUACUUAAGGACCGUCAACAGCCACCACGAAGGUCGCCGGCGUUCUUCAAUCUCGUGUUUUUGGCCACCAAACUCCGAACCAAGCGCACGGGUCGAAAGAGGAGGGAGAGGCGAGCUCACCUACGCCGAAAACAAGGACGAAGAAGACGCGGGGACGGAGCAGUGCUCGGUAUGGCGGAAGACAACUCGGCGAGAUCUGAAACUCGAGAUUUACGAAGAUAGGGCACGGCUUGGAUGAUUUGGAUGUGAAAAGGGAGAUGCGGGGCGGCUCAGGGGCUUUAUAGGUGUCUUAUGCGGGAAGUAAUCCUGUCCAAAUCGGGAUUGAUUCGCUCAGAUUUCCUUCGGCGGUGUCCUGCUCAGGUACGCGCGUUGGGGAAGAAAAGAGGGAGGGAGAGGAGGCUGACACGCGGGACCCAUCUGGCGGUGAAGGGGGAGGUGGGACCCAGACGACGGUGAGAGAAGAGGCGGGUGGGAAGCUGGGUUGCUUGCCGGGCCGAGCGCAGGGUGGAAGGGGGAGUGGGCCGCGUGCGAGGGAGGGGGAAAAACAGGCCGGGGGUGGGUCUGGCUGGGUUUACCUUUUCUUUUUUUUUCCUUUUUUGUUUUAUUUUUCCUAUUUCUUCUUUGUUUUCUAAAGUCUUUUUGAAAAGAGAUUUUAAAUCCUUUUGGGAGAAAUACAAAAUACAUAGACAAAAAGCAAGCAAGCAAUUAAAUAAAUAAAUUAAUUCCAACAUGAAUGCACCACCAUGUUUCUAAACUUAUAAUAAAUUUUAAUUUUGACCAAAACUAUUUUAUUUACUAGAUUAAAUGCUCACCAAAAAUGCUUAAUUAAAUCAAAUUAAUUCCUAUUAAUUGAAAACAAAUUUUUGGGUGUUACAAAUUCUACCCCGUGUUGACGGUCCUUAAGUAUCAAAUUUAACUAUCAAAUAAACAAAGAAAAGGAUCCAAAUGAAAUCAACAUCAAGACUUAGGGUUUUAUCUGACAGAAUUCCACGAGUUUUGGUGUUUGUCUAUUUCUACAGGGGGUUAUCAGGAAAUAAGGAAGAAAGGCCCACACGUCGGGAUUACGUAAAGAUAUUAACGUGCCGCGCAAUUAUCUUACAUCUAGAAGACUCCAGAAGCCACGAGACCGAAGCGGAGGCGAAACGGGGCCAGAGACAGGGCGCCCGCCCUGUCCUACUGGGCGCCCGCCCACCUCCUGUGGCCAAUCACGCUCAAUCUCGCGGAUUAUGUUCCACCGACCUAAAGGAUCAAGAAUAACCGUUCAAUCAAUGUCGGUUUGAUCCGACGGCCCAGGUUCACUUGAGGGGACUAUAAAACCAGACCCCCUGGCCCCUGGAGGAGACAACCCCUUGAUCAUUAUUCAUUAUUCAUAGAAAGAGCAAAAGCUAGGGUUUAGAGAUGAGAGCUCUCCUCUCUUCUCUAAACUAGAGUAGAUCUAGAUAGUAGCGAGAUGGAGAGCGAAGGAGGAUUAGAGGAGAGGCCGGCCUGUCGGUUCUUCCUCCGGUUGUACUUCGCCAUGAUCAAGCUCUAAUCAAGCUUGCUCAUGGGAUGACUCUGGUAAUCUACUUCUAAUUCAUUAUGCAAUUACUAAUCAUGUAUGUUCUAGUUCACAACUCUUUUGAGUACUUCUAAUCUAUAGGACCCUAUAGGUUAGAGUUGUAGUAUAGGUGUAAGCGUGGUGCUUAGACCUAGAUUACUUGUGGAUAUCCCCUGACUAGCUGGAUCGUGUGGUAGGCCGCGUAGGUGACAGUUACGUUGGUCCCCUGUAGUCCACCUCUUGUUAGCAGGACGGGUAGGGUUUAUCGGCCUAUGGAUAAGCAUCCUUUGUGGUGUACUCUUAUCACAUGGUUCGUCCCAGACAUAGACAUACCCCUUUGAAGUAGAGAAACCAUAGUUAUCCUCUCUAUUCUGCUACCAUCGCCUAUAUACUAGAAUUGCUCUACUCUCUAUUCCCAUAUUAUCACUCACUGUUAUCUUACCUUUAAUAUUGUUCUUAUUCGAUUCUACUAUCUUUCCUAUUCACACCAAUUUACUUAUCUUGGUUAAGUUAGAGCGUAGAUCAGUUCUUCCGUUUCCCUGUGGAUACGAUAAAACCUUUAACCGGGUAAAAGCUUCAACGGUAUCCGUGCGCUUGCGGAUUAUCUGUGUGCGUAUAAAUACCAUAGUACACUCUAGUGCCACGCUGCGGAUGACAACCUAGUAUUCAAGUGGUGUUAGCAAGUGUCAACAAGCAUUUUUGGCGCCGUUGCCGGGGAAACGGUUGCUGAGUUGACUACGAACUAGUUUAAUCAUUUUAUAAAAAAUAAAUAAAUAAAUAAAUAAAUAUAUUUUCCUUUUAUCCUUUGCCUCAUCUCUGCUAUUCUUUCUUCUUAUCUAAUCCUUGAUCUCUGGUCUAUUAUGAAUUCAAAUAUGUCUAUCUAUGAAUUUCAUUUCAGAAGAAGUUCUUUGCCCAAAACUUUCGAUUCCAGAAGAAGUUCUUCUAAUUCACUUUUUUGAGGGCCUUAGUAGGAAAAAUAAGCAAACCCUUCAUGCGGCCUCUAGAGGAUCUUUCCACCACCUAUCCGCUAGUAAAGCUUGGAAUUUGAUUGAUUUAAUGAGCGGAAAGUCUCCUAGCUUUUAUAUCCCUGAGAAAGAGACAGUACCAGUUCCUAGACAAGAAGAAGAAGUUUUGAUAGCCAGAUCACAACCACUUCAAUUCCAAACUUUAGCUAUCGAUCCUAAACCAUCAAUACCCCAAAAUUCUUCAAGGGAGGGAGGAAUUCCGAACUUAAAUCUUUCAGAUACUAAUGGUUUAGACUUUUAGUUCCAUAAGAGACCUUCAAGCAGGGAUAAUUCAAAUCCUCGCAAUAAUGGUUCUCUUAGAGAAUGUCCUGGUUCCUGUUAUGAAGAAGUCGAGGAUGACAUAUCAAGUGAAGGAGAGCUAAGCCAUAUUGAAAAUUCUAACACCUCCCCUUUCCUGAUUACAAGUUCUAAAUGGCUAGAAUGUGUAGAAUGGAUGGAUAAGGAAGAAGCCUUAAUGAAUUCUUACUUUGGAUCAAUUUCAAAUGGUGAGUUCUUGACUCCCUUUGAAGAUGGGAUUCAUCCAACUAUAGAAGAGGACAUAAGUGAGACCAAUCCAAGAGAAACUCUGAACAUUCAGAUUGGAGACGAAGAUAACAUUAAUGAGGAUGGAAUUUAUUUCAUAGCCACUUUGUUUACUCCAUGCUCAUAUGCAAUAUCUUCCCAAUCUAUUGGUCUCUCCAACAUCACCACAUUUGAGAUCUCCAACCCCCUCUUCCUUUCUAUUUAUAAAAACUUUAAAAGGGCGGUUGUCGAUGCAUAUGUCUAUAAUAAAUAUUGCAGAUCUCGUUGAGUUGAUCUAGAUAUAGGUUGGCGUCAGAGGGGAAACCACUUCGCCAACAUAAACUGAUGGUUUCCCAAGGACAAGCUUAGUGUCUUAAAAUAAGCAUUGAUCAGAUCGUAACAUGAGCUUUUAAUUAUUUACAACAUUACCUGGUGUAUUGAGCAUAUAAGGAUAAUCGUAAAAAUAUUCCUUCGGGUAUUCUUGUCACUAACCUUUCUAGGAUUGGAGCAAGAAGAUUGGAUGAAUGACAAGCACAAGGUAUGUCCAACCAAUCAUCAUAUAACAUUGAAUUAAAUUCAUCCAAACUUGAAUUUUGCAAAAUUCAAGCUUGGGGGAGUACUUUACAUAAAAACAUCCUUUGCCAUGUUGCUAUGCUGGUUGUCCCUACCUUUGAGACAUGCUCAAUUUGUUAAAUACUAAUCACACUACUUCAUCUCUACUUGAGUAGAUCUCUAUAAAUGCUGUCAUGCUACCUUUGUCUAUUUACUAGCAAGUGUUGGUUUGGAAGUACUCGCCAUACUUCCAUUGGCAUUUAAAUUAAGCAUGGUGCUUAGGUUAAAUAGCCUUCCUUAAUCUGAUUAGACAUGGAGUCUAGUUCGGUUAUUGAACUAAAAUUGCUUGUGUAGACAUUGGUAUAUUUUUGUCGGACUAACCCCUGCAGAAAAACUUUCAAUAUCGAUUUGGGAAGUCCUGAGAUAAACUCACAUCAGAGACGAAGAGAGUGACACAUGAAGUUUAACAAUUUGCACAAGAAGGACAUAGCUCAUUCAUCAUAGAGAUAUGAUCCAUGGAGGGUGCCAUGAACACGAUGCACAACCGCUAAGAAAGGAAAGCUUCCACAAGGUGAUACUGUACCAUCACUUUUCAAGCAAGGUAACAUCCUAAGGUACUUGACUAUCACUUUUAUAAGCUUCUCCUUGGUUCUGGCAUUCAUAUAAAUAAAAGAGACAAACGUGUAUGAUUUACAACUCUAGAUUAACCAACCCAACUGAUUCAACAUGUUUAGUCCUUUAAUCCUUGUUCUUAGUACUACCUCCAUGAUCCCACACUCCUAAUCAUAUGAGCUAAAAUGUUACACAUUCAAUCAUUGAGAGAUAUAAAGAAAAAGACAUAUACAUAGAUAGAUUAUCUUUCCAUAAGGUUGAGCGAUCUGAUCUGACAAAUGUUAUAAGUGCUACACUCAUGAACUUAUCAUCCAUCAACUUUGUCUUGCUCACUACGCUUAAGGUUAGAGAAGAACAAAUACACUUUUGGUUCUGUUGGUGUUUUCCACCAACAGGGCCCAUGCACUUGAUCUCUGCCUUGUCUCUAUGAGCAGGUACACUACGAGCACAAACACACUGAGCAAGAUACUGCUAACACCUCACUUCGAACUGCUGGGCAAACGAAGAACAUGGGUGACACCGUAUUAAAAGGUGCAGACAUCAAGGUCCGCACCUGAAUCAAAUGACGCACCUAAAGAAUGAACACGGUGAGAAGUCUUGUCAAGAAGACUUAAAACAUUGAACCCUCGCCGAAAGGUAAGAUUGGUAGUUAUCCAUAUUUAUCCUUUCUGCAUUCUCUUUUCCCUUUAAUUAUUUACUUUCCUUAAAUAGAUUUUUAGUUAAUCAUGCUAUCUUGAAAAGAAAAUAAAAAUGUUAAAAAAUACUAAGCCCCAUGUGAGUAUACGAGUAGCAUAAAACCCAUAAGUACCUUCACUGUGGUGGCAUAAAAAUAAAAUAAAUAUUUCUUUUCUACUUUAUAAAAUAAAAAUAUAAAAAGAGGGAGUAAUAUUUAUUGAGGAAGCUCAACAUGAUGAAGGCUAGAUAUUUAUGCUAACACUUAAUUAGUUCCACAAGCUUUGUUGUCUAUUUGAGCUCCACAGAAUUUAAGAAUCAAGAAGACUAGCAGACGGAGGACAUUCUAAUCGCUGUCAGAAUGCUGCUGACUUUCAAAUACACCUCUGCCACCUGCUAGCUACAUCAAGAGAAAUUACGUCAAAAUUUAGCUUGGGGGAGAGCACCCCCAUUUAUCUCGCUAAGUAUUUCUACCUAUCUUUAUACUUAUAUUAUAUUAGAAUAUUAAAAUACAUAAACUAUAAAAAAAAACCAAAUAAAGAUUUUAUGCUUAUAUAUAUAUAUACUUUUCUUAGUUUGCUAAAUAAAUAAAUAAAGUUUGCUAUGAAUCUUAAUAAUAAAACUCUAGCAUGGAUAUGAUGAAUAGUUGCUCUGCCUAAUUUGCAAAUUUGAAGUUCUCUCUCAAGUUUAGACAUAACUGUUAUAAUUUAAAGCUUGCUCUAGAUCUAAACUUGUGGGAUGAAAACUUGAUCUGAAAUCUAAGUUGUUAACGGAUAUGAUAUGGGAAGGUUGAGCUGCUGUUUAUCUAUUCCUAGAGAUGCUAGAAUUCUGGAGAAUUUUAUCUUUGAAAAAUCUUUAAAAUGUUGCAUGAUGAGUUCCUGUAUGAUGAAAGUUUAAAUUCCUACCACAGCCAUAUAUACAUGCUUGCUAGACUUUGAGCCACACAUUUAUUAUUUACUGCUUAUGAGCAUUGAGUGUGGUCAAGCUGUGUAGACCCUUAGGAGCUUGUCAUGUGGUUAAAUCAAGAUUCACUUGCACGUUCACUCAUAUAUAUGCUACUUCUACUCCGGAAGUACCAUCCACAUAUAUCCAUCCAUUUCCAUCUCCAGAAUCACCUAAAAAUAUUCUACUCCUAAUUCGGGAGAGAAUAGCCAAAAACAUCUGUGUUUUUUCCUUGUGAAAUAAAUGAGUGCUCUACCACUUGCUAUAUUAUCUCAAGAGAUGAGUGCUCUGAAAAAAAAAGAAGAAAAAAAAAGAGAAUAAAAAAAUAAACGAGGAAAUAAAAAGGGGCAAGUGCCCGGAACCUCGAAAGAAAAGAAAAAAAAGUGAGACGAGAGGUAAAAAUGGAUAAGUGUCCGACAGUACAAGAUACCCACCUGAGUGGAAAGAAAAAGAAGAGCAUCUCAUUCUCCUCAUAAAGUUUCAAAAAGCAAGGAAGGUAUGUAUCCCCUCAAAAGAGCAAAAGUAGAAUUAGACUUUCACCAUUGUUAUCACCAUCAUCACCAUACACUAUUCAUUCGCCACACAUGCACAUCUUGAUUUGGCUUAUUGAUUUGUUUCUUUGGAUCCAUGGUUUGACUAUACAAUAAAUGUCUUGUAAGUAUGUAUACUUUAUCUCCCACCUAUGAGCUCCAGAUAUUAAAGCCUUAUUAGAGUAGGGUGAGAGAGAAGGCAAUGUCACUAUGCCUUAUACCACAAAUACCACAUAUUUUGAGAGAAGGCAUAUACUAUCACUGCCUUGGUAAGGAUCCAGAAAUACCACAAAAGAGAGAUAUGAGAGAGUCAUACAAAGGAAUCUCUGAGUUUUAUUUGAAAAUCUGCAAAAAACUCCAGAGCUAUAGCUGAUCAAGAAUAAGAGACAUGGCACUUGGCUAGACUGUUCUAUCUUUUAACUACUCAAGACAGAAGUGACGGUUACAAGUCCCAUGGUGAAAGGUAAAGUAAGUAAGUUUUAGUUCUUAACAGUUUACUCUAACUUAGAGAUGAGAUCUUAUUUAAAGCAUGUGUACCGUUAAAUUUUUAAGAUAUUGCAACAACUUAUGAUCCAUUGCUGAGUCUAUCCUUGCUCAGGGACGAGCAAGAGGUAAGCUUGGGGGAGUUUGUUGACGGUCCUUAAGUAUCAAAUUUAACUAUCAAAUAAACAAAGAAAAGGAUCCAAAUGAAAUCAACAUCAAGACUUAGGGUUUUAUCUAACAGAAUUCCACGAGUUUUGGUGUUUGUCUAUUUCUGCAGGGGGUUAUCAGGAAAUAAGGAAGAAAGGCCCACACGUCGGGAUUACGUAAAGAUAUUAACGUGCCGCGCAAUUAUCUUACAUCUAGAAGACUCCAGAAGCCACGAGACCGAAGCGGAGGCGAAACGGGGCCAGAGACAAGGCGCCCGCCCUGUCCUACUGGGCGCCCGCCCACCUCCUGUGGCCAAUCACGCUCAAUCUCGCGGAUUAUGUUCCACCGACCUAAAGGAUCAAGAAUAACCAUUCAAUCAAUGUCGGUUUGAUCCGACGGCCCAGGUUCACUUGAGGGGACUAUAAAACCAGACCCCCUGGCCCCUGGAGGAGGCAACCCCUUGAUCAUUAUUCAUUAUUCAUAGACAGAGCAAAAGCUAGGGUU